GGUUGGUUCGUCGUCGGAAAUUCACUGAAGAAAGAGUUCCUUAUGAUAAGCAAGCUGAAGAAAGCUGAAGAAAGAGACAAGAUCUCGAGGAAAUUCACUACUGGAUGAAGCGAGGGUUCUAUAUAACUGUCUCUUUUUAAACAAACUUAUGCAUAUUCUUUCAUGUGCUGUAGAAAGGCCCCUCAACCUCGGAAACCUCACCAUGGACUGGGAACGAAGAAAGUGGGAUCUGAUGGUUGGCAUUGAAGGUGGCAAGCUGCAGAAGAAAGAUGGCGUUUUCAAAGUUGAAGGGCCUUUCUAGAGCACUGGAAUCCAUUCAUAAUUUAGCUUGAAAUCCCGAAACACAAGGCUUUUUGUGCAUAUUUAUAUAGACUUUUGCAGUAAGAUUAGCUUUAUUUUCCCUUUUACACUGCAAUCCAUAUAACAUUUCAAUGUUACAGCAUAACUUUGGUGCAGCAUAUAUAGAUACGUAUACGUUGCAAUUCAGGCUUUCUGCAAGACUGGUAUGAAUUUGUUUUUAGAAAUCCCUUUUUUUAUAAUCGAGUCCAGUUAUGCUAAGACUCCACUUUUAUGGGCAUUACCUUGUAAUUUCAUUUUUGUCACAUCAUAAUUUGGAUCUUUGUUACCAAGUUGGGCUGUAACUAUUUGCUGUUUGUGUUGCAUUUGGAUUAGUGGUUGAUUUGGACAAGCUCAACAAGUUAUUGUGUGGAUUACUCUAGUUUGAUUUUCUUGUUAUGCUUUUUGAGUAACGGAAUGGAAUAUGUCAUUCCAAUUUAUUGAAUAUUUAAAAUAACUUGGAGAAUUUCAUAAUUAAGAAAAUUCAAAAUUUCUUUUUGAUGAUUUAUGUAUUUUUCUCUUUUUUUUGGGGGGGNNNNNUUAAUUAAUUAANNNNNGGAACAGGCAAAGGUUGUAACAGACCCCGGCGCUUGAGUUGAAUAUUUAAUUUGCUGGCAAACAAGGCAAGCGGCUACAUGUUGCUCAACAUCUUUCCUCAUCUUAGGUCAAAAGAAAGUAGAUGAAAGAUGUACCAAUGUCUUUUUAAUACCAGCAUGUCCUGCCAUAGGUGUCUCGUGAAAUUCUUUGAGUAGCAUGGUUUUCAAUGAUGAGUGUGGGCUAAGAUAAUACCGGUGUCGAAAUAGCAGUAACCCUCCUUGAACUGAGAAAUCAGAAGUGAGUGAACCGGCUGCAUACCUCUGAUGGAGUUGCUUCAUAUCAGGAAUGGAGUCAUUUUCCUUGUGCAGAGCUGCCAAUAUUUCACUAGAAGGUUGACUUACCAACGAAAAACAAAGAGCUGUUGGUUUGGGUUCUUCAAUCACAUUUUCCUCAUGAAUUCGCGAUAAAGCAUCAGCAGCUUUAUUGGAGUUACCAGCUUUAUAAUCAAUUCUGAAUUGAUAACCCAUCAACUUGCGAAUGUAAAAUUACUGCUAUGGUGUGUGAAUAACUUGUUGAAACAAUUCCUUUACGUUUUUAUGGUCAGUGCAUAUAAAGAAAAAUCGGUCAAUGAGGUAUUGACGCCAUUUUUGAACUGCAGCGACAAUAGCAUAUAAUUCCUUCAAAUAUGUCGAGGAUGCACGCAUUCGAGGACCCAACUUUUUGCUAAAAUAAGAUAGAGGAUGCCCGGCUUACAUUAGCACAACACCGAUCCCAACAUUAGAAGCAUCGGUCUCAAUGACGAACUCCAAGGUAAAAUUCGGCAAGUGAAGUACAUGAGCUUCCACAAGGGCCUUCUUUAAUGCUUGAAAAGCUUGAGUAGCUGCAGGAUUCCAAUAAAAAGCCUCCUUACAAAGCAACUCAGUGAGAGGAGUUGCGAUGGUUGCGUAGCCUUGAAUAAAACGUCGGUAGUACCCGGUCAGCCCCAAGAACCCUCUCAGUUGCUUCACUGAUUUCGGUAAAGGUCAAUCCACCAUGGCUGUGAUCUUUUGAGGAUCCGCAUGUACUCCUCGAGCCGACACUAUAUGGCCCAAAUAAUCAAUUGAUUCCUGACAAAAUAAACAUUUGGAGAGUUUGACAUAAAAUUGAGAUGUGUAUAAACAACUCAUGACCUGCUCCAAAUGAUACACAUGAUCAACCAAUGAUGCACUAUAUACCAAUAUAUCAUCAAAAAAGACAAUAACAAAUUUGCGUAAAAAAAAAGCAAAUAGCUGGUUCAUUGUUGCUUGAAAAGUGGACGGCGCGUUGGUCAAACCGAACGGCAUAACAAGAAACUCGUAGUGUCCUUUAUGCGUGCGAAACGCUGUUUUAUAAGUAUCCCUCUUGUGAACUCUUAUCUGGUGAUAUCCGGCUCGUAGAUCAAGUUUGCUGAAAAUCCGAGCACCGCCCAGUUCGUCAAACAAUUCAUCAAUGGUGGGGAUGGGAAAUUUGUCCUUUACUGUCACCGCAUNNNNNUUAAUUAAUUAANNNNNGAAUGUAUAAUCUAUUUUCCCAAAAUAUCAACUUCGCGCCAUCCAAGAGUAGAAUAUCACACGAUUUACUCAAUUUUGUAGCUAGCAAGUCUAUAAGAAAUAAAGAAAAGAUUUAUCUUGCCUUAAAAAGAAAGUCAAUGAUCCUGAUAUUAUUAGCAUGUAAACAUUGACAAUAUUUUUACUAUUGUUUUAACUAAUUAGCGUGUCUUAAAAAAGGAAAACGUGUAUUUCUCAACAGUUUCUAUCAGCAAUUUCAAUCACAAUAUCAACGGUCAUCUUACAAUUGGUACGUUAUUGACUUUUCUUUUUUCUUGGGUGGGGGGUAAAUAUAGACCAUCUUUAUGAAUUUAGCGUCUUAUUAAUAAAUUAUUAAUUAUUAAUUUAUGCAGGAUUAAGUGGGUUCAGUAUGAAAUUACAGUGUUUUUUAAUGUAUUAAUUUAUUGAUUUAGUAUGCUGGUCCUAAAUUAAAAGUAACAAAUAAUAUUAUUUAAUCGGAGUUUUCAUUUUCAGCAGGAAAAGCACCCGUUUCCCCCUCAAAUUUGGGCAAUUGCUCAUUUUCCCCUUAUAUUUAAGAAAAUGCCUUGAUUGGUGGUAGAAGUCCAUUUAAUAUCUUUUUAUCAUUUUCCUUUGAAUAUUGUUGAUUUAAGAAGUAUUCCUAAUUAGUUAGCUGUCAAACCCAUGUCGUUGAGACAUAUAUGGGCUUGCUAUUAUACAUAUAUCUAUAUUUUUGGAACAAAAUACUGGAAAAUGAGGCAUUUUCUAUCACUUUAUUGCUAAUAGUUAUUUGUAAUGUCUUUAGUGAGAGAUGAAUUGCUACAAAUUGCAAUUCUCUUAUGUGUAGUUGUGAAAUACACUAAUGAAAUAAUUUUUGUUAGUUAUGCUUAUGUACACAUUUUCUUUUUAAAUUUCUUAGGCAUAUAGAUCCAAUAAUUUUCUAUUUUAUCAAAUUUUUUUCUUAAUUAGUGUCUAUUUAGUAUGCUUUAUCUAAUUGUCAUAAGUGCUUAUUUAUUCCGUAAGCUCUUAUAAAAAUCUUCUUUUUAUUAAUUACAAGUUUUAAAGAUUAAGUGCCUGUUUGGUAUGGCUUAUUUAAGAGCCAUAAGUGCUUAUUUAAUCGUAUAAGCACUUUUUAAAAUUUUUUAUAGUGUUUGGUUAUUUUUUUAGUAGAGUUUUUUUAGCUUAAAUAAGCUAAUUUACCUCUACUAAGGCUCCGUUUGGUACAGCUUAUUAAAUAUAGCUUAUAACAAUAGAGCUUAUAGCAGUAGAGCUUAUACCAAUAGAGUUUUUGGACAAAAAAUCAUUGGGUGUUUGGUUGUCAAUAAAAAAAAUACUUUUGAAUCAUUAAACUGUAUGAUAUUUUUUUUAUUAUAUAUUUUUUAGAUAAGCUCUCUAACCUCUACUCCCAAAAGCUUAAAUUUUGGGCUUUUGCUAGUAGAGGUAAAUUAGCUUAUUUAAGCUAAAAAAACUCUACUAAAAAAAUAACCAAACACNNNNNUUAAUUAAUUAANNNNNGCAAAAUUACAAAUAAUUUUAUAAGUUGCACCAAAAAAAUAUUUUGCGGAUAGCAUAAACUAAUACUAGAAUAACCAUUCGUUAACGAUGCGGGCAGCACCAUGAAGCGGUGAGCCCCGUUUGGUGAAAACAAAAAAAAAUUAAAAUUAAAACAAAGCACUAUAAAUUCUAAUCAAAUUGUUAACAUUAGCUAAAUACACAGCAAGAAGCCAGAAUAAAUUCGUUAUCUAAACCAAAUAAAAAAAAAAAAGAGGCAGUUUAGUCCCCAUCAUUUUCAGUUACAAACAAACUAAAGCACAAAUUAAGAACAAAGGUUGAAGCAAAGCAUGAUUGUACCUUGAGGUACUUGAGCUUAGUGUUCCCAUAAACGAGACCGAGCGAAAAAGCCGAAACCAGAGCAACCUAUUAUUAUUACUCAAAAAUCCAGAUCAGAAAAUAAAUGAUCUUUCAAUAACAAUUCAUAAGAACUCCAUCCCAUCGUAUAUAAAACAAAACAAAGAAAAUAUUGAAUUGAAAAAAAAUUACACACAUGGACUAAAAGAAGAUAAAAAUGGAAUUACCAGAGGGAGCUGGUGCCGGAGUAGGAACGAGGACGCAGCGCCAUAUGAUGCUUUGUCAUGCUUUUCCUUCUUGUGGGUCUGCGCCGAAGUCGAAGAUAAAGAAACAAGAAAGAGCUAGCAGCCUAGCACAUUGAAAAAUCGACUCAUAUAUUCGAUUCCGACUCGUAUGGCUAUUUUUAUUUGAUGAAUGAAAUAUUAUUUUACUCCCUAAUUUUUUUUACAAAAUUACAAGUUUUGACUUUUGUUCAUAUGUUCUUUUUUACAGGAUCCUAUUCUAGGAGGAAUAACAAAUAGGCCGGAUAUGUGGCUAAGCCCGAGCGUGUUGUUGAUUGCCAAUUUUAUUUUAAGUAUAAUUCUUAUAACACUUCACUUAUGUGAUCGUAAUUAUAUUGUACUGAAAAUUAUAUAAAGGAUAAAUAUGAAUUUAAUUAAACUAACAAGUCUUCACAAACUCGUGCAAACUUACUAUUUCUAAUCUUAAUAAGUGAUAUAAUUAAUUUUAUUGAUAAAGUCAAAAUAAUUUUUAACAAUGAAGAAAUAAGUUAUAAUAACAAUAAAUUUAUGACGAAAAAUGUUUACAAAAUUUAUUCUAAAUGAUAUGAAAUUUAAUUAAAAUUUUAUUGAAAUUUUAUGUCUUUUUUAAAAUUUUAUUAAAAAGUGGGAUUUCUUAAGAGUUUAAAAGGCGUGUUGGAGGCUUUACUCUUAUAUUUUUCUAGCUUUGAAUUUCAGUGGCCUUUACUUCGUUUAAAUUUUUGUUAUAAACCUGCAAGUAAGUGCAUUUAGGAUGCCUUUUGGUGAAGCUGGAUUGUAACAAUAAUUUUAUUUAUUAAAAUCAAUAAAAAAUUUAAUUAAUUAAAGUUUACGUAUCCUCUUGUCUAACCAAUCAAAUACUUUCUCUCAAGACAAUACCAGUGUGCUUAAAAAANNNNNUUAAUUAAUUAANNNNNCAAAUUUCUUAAUUUAUGCUUAUUACCAAUAUCAAUAUACAAAGUGGCGAACAUGGUGUAACAUAACUCAAAGCGAAAGAUAAUACAAAUACUAAAAUUUAGAAGUUAUUAUGUCAUCCAAUAUCAAAAGAUCACACAAAAUGCCUUAAAGUUUACUUUUUUAUUUUUUUAUUUUUUGGAAAAUUUUAAAAAACGAAUUUGUUCAAAACCAAGUUAGUAUGCUCUACACUUGCCUUUGUAUGAAGGAUCCUGUGUAUCAGAACACUUGAGACGGUCUUUUAGCUGUUUUCUUAUCUGGUUUGGUACCCGUUUUAAGCUAAGGAAAGCUGUUUUAGGGUUGUAUAACCUAGCAAAGAAAACUGGUUUUAAGAGUCUCAAGAUGACGCCUAGGGAAUGGGCGUGACUGUGGAGUUCUGGAAUAUUUUUUGUGAAAUCUGACUUUGUGGUGUUUCUUCGUGGAGGGACAAGUACAAUGCUUAGAGUCUUUGCACUUGAUUUCCAAGUAGGGUUUCUUGCAGGUUGAGGGUUCAAGUGGUAGGUCAUGGGAAAGACUCUCUCAGGAGUAUAAUCCCUUGGAGUAGUAGGGAAAAAGGACCCGAGAGGGUGAUAUGGUUCUGUGGGAAAAUAGGAUGGGGGAGCAGUGUGAACUGCUUGACGCCGUUGGUUGUCAGCAUCAAUUCUGGCAAUUUCAGCUUGAAGCUGUCUGAUUUCUUGCUCUUUUCGAGUGAACUCAUAAGAAUUAUCACCGCGGGCAAUCAUGGCUCGAAGGUCACGGUCAAGCUGUGCAACCUUAGCAUGAAGACUAUUAUACAAAUUGGUCAACUGGUCUGAGAGGGAAGUAACCCUUGUUUCAACAGCAGAGGAUCUGUGAGCGAUCUGAUCAACUUUAGAGUGUAAGGAAGUAAGAGAAGCAUUCUGGACUCCUUGACAUACGAAGAAAAAAGAGCAGAUGCUUCAUUUGCAAAAAGCUCGGACAUUUUGCUAAAGAAUGCCCUAAGAACCCUAAGCGGUCUCAACGCUUAGUUCAACAGCUUCAGUCCUUACAUCAGUUCUCUCCUGAUACUGACCAAAUUGAGUUUCUAUACUCUGAACAAGAAAGUCCUGACCCGGAUACAGUUUUUGCCCUUGGCACUUCUGAUUCAGAUUCAGAUUCAGCUUCAUCUACUGAACCAGAAGACUAUUCCCCUGUCUUCCACAUCCGGUCAGUACCUUCAUCCUCCACUCAAUUGUCAGUUCAACCCAUUCCUUCCGUCAAAAUCCAAAUCCUGUUAUCCAAAUACAGUCGGCCCAUUCCUGCUAUUGCCUUCAUAGAUACUGGCGCUCAGCGCAGUAUUUUAAACCCUGCUAUUUUGCCGCCUGAAACCUGGAUUUCAAAUGAAAAUCAUUUCCGUGCUGCUAGUGGAAAAUUGUUUUCUACAAAGCUCCGCACCAAGUCUAGAAUUGGAAUUCAGCUAUUCCCAAAGCUCACAGUUUGGACCCAUGUNNNNNUUAAUUAAUUAANNNNNUGCUGUAACAUCUAAUGAAUCAUCUGAUGGAGGCUAUCAAAGUGCAGACUUGCCAGUGGCAUCGAAUGGAAAGAUUGAAAGUCAGUGGGUUCUAGACUCUAGUUGUUCUUUCCAUAUGAGUCCUGAUAAAACCCUUUUUCAUGAGUAUGAAACUAUAGAUGGAGGUAGGGUCUUAAUGGGAAACCACAAUGCUUGUAAAAUUGUGGGAAUUGGUUUUGUUAAAAUCAGAAUGUAUGAUGGAACCACAAGGACCCUAGAGCAUGUUAGGCAUGUACCACGAUUAAAAAAAUAUUGAUAUCCUUAGGCAUGUUAGAUAGCUCAAGAUAUAUCUUUAAGUCUGACCAUAAGGGCUUAAAGGUAAUGAAAAACUUCAGUAUAGUAAUGAAGAGGGUUAAGAAAAAUGGAUUGUAUGUGCUGGAAGGGUCAUCAGUACCUGUGUUGUCUGCAUUGCAUGUGUUUAUGAUGUAGAUAAAGCCAAGCUAUGGCAUCUCAGACUUGGGCACAUGAGUGCCAAAGGCUUACAAGAACUAAGUAAAAGGGGGCUGUUAUGUAGAGAUAAGGUUGAAGAGCUGAAGUUCUGUGAAAAUUGCAUCUUUGGGAAGGCUCACAGAAUGAAGUUUGAAAGGGGAAUGCAUAAAUCCAAAGCUGUAUUGGAUUAUGCACACUCUAAUCUAUGGGGGCUUGCUCAAGUGCCAUCUCUAAGUGGUGACCGAUAUAUUGUAAUAUUCAUAGAUGAUUUUUCAAGGAAAGUCUGGUUAUACAUUCUCAAGACUAAAGAUCAAGCUUUUGAGAAAUUCAAAAUAUGGAGAGCUUUGGUUGAGAAUCAGCCUGAAAUGAAGUUGAAAGAAUUGAGGAACGAUAAUGGACUCAAAUUUUAUAAUAAAGAGUUUGAUGAGUAUUGUCAGAAGCAUGGAUUAGCUGAGAGGAUGAACAGACCCCUCAUUGAUAAGACAAGAUGUCCGCUCAUAAACUCCAAGCUACCAAGAAGCUUCUGGGCUGAAGCUGUAACCACAGUCUGCUACUUGGUUAACAGGAGUCCCUCUACAGCUCUCAAGUUUGAGACUCCUGAAGAAGUCUGGACUGGUGUACCUGCAGAUUACAAACAUCUGAGAAUCUUUGGAUGUAUAGCCUAUUUGCAUGUCAAGCAAGGGAAGCUGGAUUCAAGGGCUCUGAAAGGGGUGUUUGUGGGAUAUCCUGAGGGAGUUAAGGGGAAUAAGGUGUGGUGUGGUGCCACUCAUAAAUGUAUCAUCAGUAGAGAUGUUACAUUUCAUGAGGAAGCUAUGCUGGAGGAUAAAGACUCUAUUGUCUUUGACUUCAACCUUUAUACUGAUGAAUCAAUUAAGGAAGCUGCAGUAGUAAAAGAUUCCAUAAUUGAGGUGGAGUCAACCAACAGCAGUGAUAGAGGGGAUCAAUAUGUAGGUGCUACAGAUGAUUUUCAAGAAAGGUCUGAAGUGACUGAUUCAAGAACUUCAGUGUUUGAGCNNNNNUUAAUUAAUUAANNNNNAAAACUUUCUAAAAUUAUGAUAUGGCCCCAAAUAUAUUAUUAUUUCUCAAAGAGGUCCUUCUCAAAAUUUAACAUAAUACCCAUAUUUUUCAAAGUUCUCGAAACUUUCACUUUAGUCCAAAAUGUUCAUAAAUUAUAGUAUGGCGCAAAACAUUUCAAAUAUUUGCAAAAAGGUCGAACUCCGAAAUUCAAAAUAAUACUAAUUAAAACCAAAGAUUGAAAAACUUUUCAUUUAAGUCCAAAUUAUUCAAAUCCACAAAAUACUCUAUCUUAUAAAAAUAAAACCUUUUAGUUUAUGAAAAGUAAUUAAUUAAAUUAAUUUAUUGAGCUUCUCAAAUGCUAAAUCAUGCAUCAAUUAAAUCAUACCGGCUUUACAAGAAUUUAUCGCAAUAAUUUAUCCGUUGAGCUCUAAACUUUAUUCUUGAUUUCGCUGUUGUCCGUUGAGUGUCUUGAGCUUGAUUUCACUUGAUUCACUUGCAUAAAUAUUACCCUUAAAAAACUAGUGAAAAUGUGAAAUACAAUAUUUAUUAAAUCACUUAAUACACAUGUUUGUUAUCAUUAAAAUUACAUUAGGUGUAGCCCUUUAGGCUAACAUUAUCUUGGACGGCAACAUGUGCGGUGGCAGUGAUAGGUGGUUUUUGAGAGGAAUAUCGAUGGUGUAGCUAUUGUUUUGGACGUUAUGGCAGAGAGGUUAUUAGUGUGUGGGGAGGUUCCAACAUUGGUAAAGCACUACCACCAGCGGAGUAUGAAGCCAUAAAUGUUGGUCAAGGUUCAAUCAUUGGUGUCUGGAUCUCCUUCAUCUUUGGGUAGGAAAUUCGGUUUCACGUUGUUUAAAUCUUUAUGUCUUCAGUAUCCAUUUCUUAUAAGUAUAAAGAAUAUACAAGUGUUAAUAAUAGUGUGAAUGACAAACAAAGAAUGAAUAACCACGGAAAAUUUUAUCUAACUCCUAUUAGAGCGGAACAUUUUAGAGGGCAAGUAAAGCCAAACCCAUACAAACACAGCACAACAAAUUGCCCACUCGUGAAGGUGGUGUGUGGGACUUCCGUGCCAAUUUCCAGAUCACAUAUGGCUACGAACCACCACCAUUUAGUCCAUAUGUGGUUUGGAUUUGCAAUUGGAGAAAGAGAUGAAUCAUGCACCACCCUAGAAGGAGUGGUGCUCAUGUGACUGUUCACUUUCUUCUUUGAAAAUUUUACAAUCCCUAGCUCGCAGUUCAAAUGGCCAUAACUUUCUCUUUAUAAGUCUAAAUUGCACAAAUAAUAUACCACUAGAUAGGUCUCGAAAAGCACUUGUUUAUAUGAAACGACCAGCCCCGAACUCUAGGGUGAGUCUGUCUAACCUCAUCCAAACUAGAUUGAUAAAAAUCUAAUUAGUAAGGAUUCUGCUGAAAAUUCGGCAAAGUCUCCUUUAUAUAUAUAACACUCCCAAUCUGAAAAUAUGUAAAACAAACACUCCCAAAAUAAUUCAAUAUACAACAAACNNNNNUUAAUUAAUUAANNNNNCAGCACAGGUCACAGCCAACUGAGCCAAGUACCAACUCAAACUGUCAAAUUGACAAUAACAAAAGACACAGGACUCAGCGAGCACGAGCAGCAGAGCAAAAGAAAAAUGCCAAAACCAGCUUCAUCCCGUCAUCCAUCUUGAACCCAUUAACAAGUAAUGACCAUGCCAAAACUCAGCUGCCGCCGGCCCGCUGACACCAAUCGAUUGGAAGUUACCCGAUUUCGACUGAAACCCAGGCGAACAGAACCCAAAUAAUCGACCUAAACCCAGCUGACAACUGCCUCUUCAACCAUUGAACUGAUCACGUCCAGCGCCGGCCAGUUGCCACGCCAAACACCGAUAAUCCACUUCCACUAUUCCCGAGCACCUAGCAACUUUAUUCAUGGUAAGCAAUUAUACCCGACCCAUGACAAUUGAAAGUUAACACAACUCACUUAGAAUUUCAUGCUUCUUUUCGACUUUUAGGGUUUUUUUAAUUGCAUUGCGGCCUUGUGGGUAAGUUGGUAACUGCUUGGAAAAUAAAAAUCCGAGAGCAAACCCGAGAGCAAGCGGCUAGCCGCUUGGGGGCAAGCGGCAACUGCCCCCAAACCCGAGAGCAAGACAUGAAUUGUUUUGUUUUUUCCUUUUAUUUUUUCUAAUGUAUGAUUAUUCAUUUGUAAUAUUAGUUGAGAAAGACAUUUAUUAAUUAUUAAAUAAUCAUCAUUAUUUAAUGUAUGAUUAUUCAUUUAUAACAUUAGUUUAUUAAUUAUUAAUAAACUAAGGAACAAUAUCAAUUCUUUAAAAUUAAAAAUUCAACUUCAUACCGUACAUUGUGGUAGUAGAAUUAUUUUAUGAUAAGUUAAUGUCAUUAAUUGCUUUAUUUCCAAAUAAUAAUUUGAUGAAUGAAUUUGUAUAGCUAGUAAGCUAGGCUGAAGAGAUUAUAUAUAGUCAAAAGUUAUAUUUAUUUUUUAGUUGAAAAUUCAUAAACGGAAGUUACAGAACAAUGAUGAUUGAUAUGAUUUUUGUAUUUUCAGAUGACUGGACAUUCAAAAUCAAAUUCCAAUGAUGAUGGUGAAGUUGAAAGUGUACAAGUACCCACAGAAAAGACAAAUACAAAGCGGAAGAAUCCAACUCAGAGACGACCAAUGAAGAAAAUAUCCGAGACAUGGAAUCAUUACACUGUACUUGAGGACAAUCAAUAUAAAGCAAAGUGCAACUAUUGUGGCAAGAUAUAUCAGUGCCAUCCUAGGUUUGAUGGGAUUAGCAAUAUGGGAACUCAUUUAAAAGUAUGUGAAGCAUACUUGAAUGUGAAGCGAGAGCAAGAUGAAAGACAACAAAAAUUAGCAGCCGAGAGUGGUGAAGGAAAUGCAAGUAAUAUGGUUUUGGCCAAAGGAUGGAGUCAAGAAGCUUGUAGAAGGGCAGUCAGUAAAAUGAUUAUCUUGGGCGAGUUGCCGCUUAAUUUUGUUGACAACAAAGGGUUUAGGCAUUUUUGCAAUGUAGNNNNNUUAAUUAAUUAANNNNNAGAAAAGUCUGGCCAACAUCAACUGAAACUGCACUCUGGGAAUUCAUCAGCCUUUGGUGCUGUGAAAGCCAUGUGUUUGUCCUCCAAGGGAAUGGGCUGAAAAAGCCAUGUAGAAGCUACAUCCAUAGUCUCUUGGUUUUGAGCACCGUGCCCAUCUCCGUGUAGAUACAUAAAAUGGGACAUUCUCACAAGAUUCAACAUGAAGUCAACUGUAUUUUGAGAUACGGGAGAAUCUUUAUCAGCUCUGUAUGCAUUCACCUUCCUCCACAUCUGUCUCAUCAUAUCCUUGAUGUGUUCACGAGCAACUUCCUCCGAGGCACCAGUUUCAUGCAUGUAACACUGGAUUGAUUUAGGAACAUCCCCUCUCUGUAUCUCAUCCUGAUGAAUUAUUGGGGAAAAAAAAUACACAAUCAAUUCGUAUAUAGAGGAUUAAUUCAAUUUCUAUCUUCUUAAGAAUCAAAAGAAAAUAAAAGAAAACAUACCGACGAAGUUCCCAAAUCAUCUUGAAGACGAAAAAUCUUGCAUGACCAGUGAACGAAAUCUGGAUUGCUUUCUAGAAAUUCUAGUUCCUUCUGAAUGAUUGGAUUUGUACCAGAAAGGUACGCACUCAUUGUUACUAUAGGGCCUGCUACUGAUACCAAUCCAUUUUCCAAGAAUUCUCCCAGUGUUGGUGUGUACUUACUAUGGUACCAUUUCGCCUCCACUAAGCCGGCUUGUAUUAAGCCAAGCCACUAUGCACAUGACAUAGAAAAUAAAGCUAGUUACAAUUUAUUAUUUUUGAGACAAAAGCAUCGUAAUUUAAAAAGGAUAAAUCAAAGGAACGGAACGGCGGGAGAGGUGAAAUUAACAUUUUACAUACUGAAUUUUUAAUACUCCGAAGCAUAUCAAAAUGCUGUUGUUUGAGUACGUAAUAAGCAAAUUCAUUAACAAAGUGGUAAAGCGCAAAAAAACACAAUUUCAUGUAGUCCGGAAGGUGGUUCAAACAUAAUGGAUGUCCCACCUGUAGAAAAGAGAAAAAAAAUAUAUUAUAAAUGGUCUACUAAUUUGAGAAGUAGCAGGCAGCUAGCUAGCAAUUGAAUUAAUCGAUUAGAUAUAACAUUAGUUUGCCAACAAACCUCUCAACAGCAGCAGUGAAUAGCUCAAGUUCGUCCAAAGUUCCAUAAACAUCAUAUAUGUCAUCAAUCACUGUAAUUAGAGCUAUUGCAAUUGUGACUAUUCUCCUGCAAUAGGCGAAUUGAGGCUCAGACCCUACCCCCAUGCUCCAUAAGAAGGAUGCUACCAAGCUGUCCCUCGCAAAGCUCAAUUUCUCUCCAAGACCUGUAUCCUUCCACUACCUUGAUAAGGAAAUUGAAACGAAUAUUACGAUACAUGUUGUAUAUAUCUAUAUAUAUAGAGUCAGCUUUUCAUCUGGAAUUCUGAAGAGUCUUUCUGUAAUGCAGACAAUAGCACUUUAUAAAGUGUAUAAGGGCUUUACAAUAGNNNNNUUAAUUAAUUAANNNNNUAAAAAUUUAGGUUAAAUUUUGAAGGAGUAGAUUCGGUUGUAAAGUAGUUUUUUUUAGCAAUUAUUAACAAUUAUCCGAUAAAUGGGAUGACAUGUCAUUUUUAUCAAUAUAUAUCAUAUGAUAUGUCAUGUUUUACUAGGUAAAUGGGAUGACAUGUCUUUUUUUAAUCAAAGUUUCAUCAAUCUUAAAAAACUAGAUUACCCUUAGAAUGUCAGCGUUUGCAAACGGAAGUUAACAGAUUAGUGGACGGCAGAAGUGUUUUGUCAACUUAGGAUAUAUAAGUGAUACACUUGAAAAGUGUUCACACACGUUUGAUACGGGUGUCAUUGUUACUGUUCACAUGACGUACUUUCACAGUGACGGUACGUAUGACGUUCGUACGCAAUUCAUAGACGAUCGAUGACAGUGGCAUUGACCGAUGAUGUGGCAUUGACUGAUGAGGUGACACGAUCCUGUUGGGCUAAAAUUCUUAUGUACUGUUGAUGGUGACGUGGCAGCAUAUCAGUGGAUAAAAAAUCUCGCGUACGGUACAUGCAUCACAUAGGAUUAUUUUCAACCAAACCGCGUCUAGUGUUCACCGGUCAAACCGGUUACUGUUUCAUCCCGGAGUCAAACCGUGUUACUGUUCAUCCGCGUGGUCAAACCGUGUACUGUUGACUGAUGACGUGGCGCAAUCCUGAGCUGUCCAAACUGUUUUUAAUCCGAUGCCAUGAUUUACUCCAUGUAUCUAUAAAAAGGGGGCCUCCCCCCCUCUAAUUUGAUAGCUCUGAAUCCAUUUUUGGGACCAUUUUCUGUAAUUCCUCUCCAUCUUUGUAUUUUCUUGAUUAAUCUUGCCUAGUUCUUAUAUACUAAUUUCCUUUUUGCCCCUGGUUCAAUUAUGAGUGGCUAAUUUUCCUUUCAAGCUUGGGUUGAAGGUGAAGUCUCAACAUUGUCAUGGGCUUUAUUUGAUAAAUUUAUUUUCUCUUCCCCUCUAGUUUUUGUGGAUGUUUUGACUUCUCGUCGACAAAUAAUAAUAACUAAUCUUGUCUAGUACGCGACCAGGGGCGCUUGGUUUCACCGGCCCUCUAGUACAAGGUUAUUAUUAUUUGGCACGAUAAGCCCUUAGCACCAUAUUGAUUAGAGCGUGGUUCAUGAGGUGUGGAUUCCCCCUUCAUGAUUUAAUUGGCAUUAUAAGGAUUAUAUAGCCCAUGAUGCAUGUUGAUACGGAUCCGGAUACCCAAGUGCUUCAUUUCAAUAGAUCUUCUUCAAUUUAUUCUCGCCAUUCAAUUCCAAUUUUGUUUAUUCUCGCCAUUUAAUUUAAGUUUUAGCAUAUUCCAAAUCAUUUUCACCACAAAUCCAAUCCCCCAUUUACAAAAUUAAUUCUAUACACAAUUAAAAUCCACCUCCUCGUGGGAUCGACACUCGUCACCAUUGAUCUAUAUCUACAAUAGAUUCGUGCGCUUGCGAGUUCAUUAAAAUUUGCACAACAAUACUCUUANNNNNUUAAUUAAUUAANNNNNCUAAGUGGCUUUGCUCUAAAUGUCCUAACUGUGUAAGACUUGCUUGUAAUACACCACAACUUUAGGAAUAGUUUCUAUAAAUCAUGAAGAUAAAAUCAAGUUUGUUAAGAAUGGCAUGAGUAAAUAAUUGUUAGAUGAUAUCUUACGAUAUCUUGAGAUGCAUCCGAACGAAUAUGUGGUAAGUGAGAUUCAUAAUUUAUGGAAGUUGUUCCAAAUAGAAAGUGUAAAGUUUAGUCUUAGGAAUCUGACUCCAAAACCAAAUGGUAGGGGUGUUCAGAAUCCAAUCCAAUCCGCUCAAUCUGUCUGAUCCGUGAAAAUUCGAUCUGUAUAAAUCCGAUUCGUGGAUCUGUGGAUUGGAUAUGGAUUGAAAUUUUAAAAAUUCGCAAUCGAUGGAUUGGAUAUGGAUUUACUUCUAUAAAUCGGUAAAAAUCCGUGAAUCCGCAAAUAUAUAUAUAUAUAUUUAUAUAUAUUUAUGUAGUUAAAAAAUUAUUAUAAAUUUAAUUAAAGAAUAUUAUAAAUGUGACAUUACAUAGUUACAUAAGCACUAUAACAUAUCUUAGCCAUUACCCAAUAAUAAUAUUAAACAAAAAAUAAUUAAAUAAUCAAAUAUACAAAUAUAACUUGUAAAAAUUGUAAAACAAAAUAAAAGUAAAGUCACACGCACUAGCAAAAGCAAAGUAACAUAACGUCAAGUUACUAACAAUUUGCAAAGUCACCCAAAAACAAAGUAACGUAACGCCAAGUCACCAACAAUUUGCAAACAAAAAGCCUAAGCUUCCCCGUCGUCACACGCACUAGCAACACCCAAUACUGAUUCGAUAUACACUCGACACCGAUUUGUAGGAUGUCGGCCGCAUGAUUCUAGCGAGAAAGCAAUCUUCUUCCCUGAGUUCAUCAAGCCACUUCACAAUCACUAGUUCCAGCCAAACAAUUGUACUAUCACAACCUUCAAGAUCGCCACCCGUACUUCUCUUGUUUCCCAUCGUUGACGGCUCCGUAAUCACCACUUUUCGACAAGUGCAAUGGCCCUAGUGAAGGAUCAGACUGUGUUUAGUUUAAAAAACUUCACCAUUUCAUUUAAUUGUGGCUUUCUUUGAACAAUUAAUUUCAGUGUUAUAUUAAUGUAUUAUUGUAACUUUAUUUGAACAAUUAAUCUUAGUGUGUUAUAUUUUGAAACUUUAAACGUAUUAUUGUAGCUUUAUUUGAACAAUUAAUCUCGAUGUGCUAUAUUUUGAAACUUUGAAUGUAUUAUUUUAGUUUUAUUUAAACAAUUCAUUUGUUUAAAUUUUAUUCAAUUUUAAAUUUAAUUGGUAGUAAAAUUAUUUUUAUGUUGGAUUUUUUUUUAAUUUCAUUAGUUCAUGGAUUAGGGAGAACUAAAACUUUUUAAUUUGGAAACUAAUGCGGAAAAUGGUGAAUUAGAUAUGGAUUAAGUUAAAUCCGCAUCCGAUCUGCAGACGUAUGGAUUGGAUAUGGAUUGANNNNNUUAAUUAAUUAANNNNNCUAGGGACAUAUUUGUAAAUAAAAUAAAAACUCUAUUAUUAUAUAAAUUGAUGAAAACAUAAGGGUGAUUGAGUUAGGGACAUAUUUGAAUAUAAAAUAAAAAUUAUAUUGUUAUACUAAAUUGAUAAAAAUAUAAGGGUAAUUGAUUUAGGGACAUAUAUGAAAAUAAAAUAAAAACUUUAUUAUUUUACUAAAUUGAUGAAAAAGUAAAGGGCAUAAACGAUUUUUUCUGGACUAGAUUUAGCCCACGUGUAGAUCCGCCACUGUAGAGAGUGAUUUCUUUAUCUCUACCUUAUUCCUCAUAUAUUUUUUUUAUAAUAGAUAUAUAUACAUGAUUUCAAUAAAUUAAAAAUUAAAGAUUUAAAUAAAAUCAUUACCAUAUUAUAAAGUAUUUAAAUUAUUUUAAAAAAUCUCCAAAUGUUUGAAACAAUAUUUUGAAAUUAUAUCAAAAUUGAAAAAUGUUUGAAAAGAGCAAUAUUUUGAGAGAGAAAAAAAAACACAACAAUGUUUUAGAGUUGAAUAAAAAUUAUAUUGUAGGAUUUUCUUUUAGUUAUAACCCAUUUAUAUCAAGUAAAAAUGAAAAGAAAAUUUAUUAACUAAUAUUGUAAUUGAUAAAAUAAAAACUAAUAAAUAAAAAUUAGAAAAAUAUUUUUAUAUAAUUGAGAUUGUAGUGGGGGUGAGGUGGUGAGUACAAAAUUAAACCUCACUCUAUUAAGAAUUUGAGAAUUAAUUUUUUCUCUUUUCUUAUCCCAAAAAUUAUUUAAAAUUUACUCAUUUAAGACGGAGCCUCAUAAAACCCCAAACCUAUGAAAAACCUAUGAAAAAUUUUACCAUCCCUAUCCGUGGACAUCAAUGUUAGCUUAGAGGGCGGGCUUCAUUCGAUGUACUAGUCUAAUGGUGACCACUCCUCCAAUAAAAACUUUUAAAAAGAUAUAAAAUUAAUGGAAAUAUAGGUAUAAUCCAAUUUUCCAACGCAAGAUUCGAUCUGGGGGAUUAUUUAACAUUGUUGUUUUGCUCUGGAUUGAUACUGUGCAUGUCGCGUACUACUAGUCCUAUAAUAAUUUUUAAUUAAUAAUUAAAAAAUAAAUAAUUGACUUCAACCUAUUCCAUCCAUAUAGACUAGUUAUUUUUUAACAUUUGGUGGAAGUUUCAUGGCAUGUUAGUCAAAAGUGCUACACUUCAGGAUUUGGUUAUAAUAUAGGUUGAGUGUUGAUAUAAGCAUUUUUUUUUUUUAAAGUAUGGAAUUCUUAUUCAAAAUGGAACAUCAUAAUUAUUGAAUUCUUAUAUCAAAUUUAUAAUAUAAAAACAUUACAUGUCUAUGGUUAGUAAUUAUAAAUAAAUUCUACCAAUUACAAUAUUUAGGUUUUAAAAAUGUGUUGAGAGUUUUCCAAACAUAUUUUACAACUUCUUAUGUUGCAUCCAUAUUGGUAUAUUUUAUUAAUUAUUUAUUAAAAAAAAUACUUCCUCAUUUANNNNNUUAAUUAAUUAANNNNNUUGAAGGCCGGGACGCCAAGUUCGUCCUGCGGAAAAGGGCCACAAAUACGGGUGGGCUAUAGCCAUGGGGGGUGGGGCCGGCCGACUUCGUCCGCCGGACUCGGAAUGGCGCGAGACUUUCCGAGGCACCUCCGUGUGCCAAAAAUAGGCCGCGGGCACAGCCGCGCCCAAAAAUCACUGCCCAAAGGCCGGGGCGCCAAGUUCGUCCUGCGGAAAAGGGCCACAAAUACGGGUGGGCUAUAGCCAUGGGGGGUGGGGCCGGCCGACUUCGUCCGCCGGACUCGGAAUGGCGCGAGACUUUCCGAGGCACCUCCGUGUGCCAAAAAUAGGCCGCGGGCACAGCCGCGCCCAAAAAUCACUGCCCAAAGGCCGGGGCGCCAAGUUCGUCCUGCGGAAAAGGGCCACAAAUACGGGUGGGCUAUAGCCAUGGGGGGUGGGGCCGGCCGACUUCGUCCGCCGGACUCGGAAUGGCGCGAGACUUUCCGAGGCACCUCCGUGUGCCAAAAAUAGGCCGCGGGCACAGCCGCGCCCAAAAAUCACUGCCCAAAGGCCGGGGCGCCAAGUUCGUCCUGCGGAAAAGGGCCACAAAUACGGGUGGGCUAUAGCCAUGGGGGGUGGGGCCGGCCGACUUCGUCCGCCGGACUCGGAAUGGCGCGAGACUUUCCGAGGCACCUCCGUGUGCCAAAAAUAGGCCGCGGGCACAGCCGCGCCCAAAAAUCACUGCCCAAAGGCCGGGGCGCCAAGUUCGUCCUGCGGAAAAGGGCCACAAAUACGGGUGGGCUAUAGCCAUGGGGGGUGGGGCCGGCCGACUUCGUCCGCCGGACUCGGAAUGGCGCGAGACUUUCCGAGGCACCUCCGUGUGCCAAAAAUAGGCCGCGGGCACAGCCGCGCCCAAAAAUCACUGCCCAAAGGCCGGGGCGCCAAGUUCGUCCUGCGGAAAAGGGCCACAAAUACGGGUGGGCUAUAGCCAUGGGGGGUGGGGCCGGCCGACUUCGUCCGCCGGACUCGGAAUGGCGCGAGACUUUCCGAGGCACCUCCGUGUGCCAAAAAUAGGCCGCGGGCACAGCCGCGCCCAAAAAUCACUGCCCAAAGGCCGGGGCGCCAAGUUCGUCCUGCGGAAAAGGGCCACAAAUACGGGUGGGCUAUAGCCAUGGGGGGUGGGGCCGGCCGACUUCGUCCGCCGGACUCGGAAUGGCGCGAGACUUUCCGAGGCACCUCCGUGUGCCAAAAAUAGGCCGCGGGCACAGCCGCGCCCAAAAAUCACUGCCCAAAGGCCGGGGCGCCAAGUUCGUCCUGCGGAAAAAGGCCACAAAUAUGGGUGGGCUAUAGCCAUGGGGGGUGGGGCCGGCCGACUUCGUCCGCCGGAAUCGGAAUGGGGCGAGACUUUGUGAGACGCCUCCGUGAGCCAAAAAUAGGCCGCGGGCACAGCCGCGCCCAAAAAUAACCGCUUGAAGGCCGGGGCGCCAAGUUNNNNNUUAAUUAAUUAANNNNNCCAAUUCAGGAUGCUGUUGCUACCCUGAUAUUGACUAUUUCUCUCCACUUCAUAGGUGACCCUUCUCACCUUAGAGACAAAAAUGCUGAGUUACUACACAACUUGAGGUGUAGGAAACUUAGUGAUUUCAAUGACUACAAAACCACUUUCUUUACCAGACUUUUCCUAAGGGAUGAUGCAAAUCAUGUAACUUGGAAGGAAAAUUUCCUUCCAGGUUUACCUACCCUUUUGGGAGAAAAGGUAAGGAACUCUAUCAAAGCCCUUUUUAAUAAUCGUAUUCCUUAUGACGAACUCACCUAUGGUGAAUUAGUCAGUUUUGUCAACAAAGAAGGUUUAAAGAUCUGUCAAGACUUGAAACUUCAGAAACGUCUAAAACAAGAGCUUAGGCAAUCUAAGCAAGAAUUAGGCGGGUUCUGCAAGCAAUUCAAUUAUGACCCCUUUAAAGCUUCCACUUCCAGAGACUGUAAUGGUAAGUGUUCUUCAAAACCUUACAAGAAACAUUACAAGUCCAAAAGCCAUAGAAAACCCUUUCAUGAUUUUAGAAAACUCCCUUAUAAGAAACCUUCGAGGCCUUAUAAGAAACAUAGUUUCUCUAAAAAGAAAGAGUUUAAAACCAAACCUAAAACCCCGUUUAAUUUCAAAGAUGCUACCUGUUUCAAAUGUGGUAUGAAAGGUCAUACUGCACGUUUUUGUAAAAUGAACAGAAGACUCCAAGAGCUUGGUCUCGAGGAAGAAAUCCUUUCAAAAAUAGCCCCUCUUCUGGUCGGAUCUUCUGAUUCUGAGUCUUCCUGGUCGGGUGAUAAUGACCCCCUCCAAGUUGAUGAACUAUUCGAUUCAGAUAGCUCUGCAUCUAGCAAUAGUGAUUCUGAUUCGGAUAAUUCUUAUUUAAAGAAAAUCAAUGUUUUGACAAAAGAUCAAGAGAUUUUCCUUGAACUUGUAAAGCACAUUUCUGAUCCAAACCUUCAAAAAGAAUAUCUUGAUAAGCUUUUAAAAACCAUGGAUUCAAGCAACACAGAAGCUUGUUCUUCUAAAAUCCCUAUUGUCAAAAAGAAUUCUUAUGAUUUAACUGAGAUUUUGGAUAAAAAGAAAGCAAAGAAGUCUACUCCUAAUAUCCAAGACCUCCAAAAGGAGAUUAAGGAUAUUAAACUUAAAAUAAAGGAUUUAAAAGAAAAACAAAAAACUGAUUCUGCAACUAUUCAACUCCUUUUACAAAAACAGUUGCAAGAUACUUCCGAUAAGGAGGUUGAAUCAGAAAAUGAUGAUGUUGAACAAAAAAUUGAUAAUCUUGAGUCAAUUCCAAAUGAUUUUUUGUUUGUUUUAAAACAAAUCACCACCAGAAAAUAUUUGAUUAAGAUUGCUUUAAUUUUUUCAAAUGAUUUUGCGAUGGAUGCCAUUGCUCUUUUUGAUACUGGUGCUGAUUUAAAUUGUAUUCGUAAAGACAUUGUCCCAAAAAGAUUUCAUGAGAAAACNNNNNUUAAUUAAUUAANNNNNGACAAAAACUAGAGGGGAAGAGAAAGUAAAUUUACCAAUUAAAGUCCAUGACACAUGUUGAGACUUCGCCUUCAACCCAGGCUUGAAAGAAAAUUAGCUACUCAUAAUUGAACUAGGGGCAAAAUGAGAAUUUAUUAAAAUACAUAGAAAAUACAAGAUAGAGAAGGAAUUAUAGAAAAUGGAGCCUAAAAAUGGAUUAAGAGGUAUCAAAUUACGGGGGGAGGCCCCCUUUUUAUAGAUACAUUGAGUAAAUCAUGGUCAUCGGAUUAAAAGCAGUUUGGACGCUCAGGAUUGCGCCACGUCAUCAAUCAACAGUACGCGGUUUGACCACGUGGGUUGAACAGUGACAUGGUUUGACCCGGCUUGAACAGUAACGCAGUUUGGUUGAAAAUAAUCCUGUGUAUAUGCAUAUACCGUACGCGCAAUUUUUGGUCCACUAACAUGCUGCCACGUCACCCAUCGACAGUGCAUAAUAAUUUUAGUCCAACAGGAUCGUGACACCUCAUCAGUCAAUGCCACAUCAUCGGUCAAUGCCAUGUCAUCGAUAUGUCUAUGUGAACAGUAUCAUGAACAGUAACGUAGACAGUACCGUACAUGUGAACAGUGUCAUUUUUCCUUUUAUGCUCCUCCUAAGGUUUUCGACCGUCCUGAGUUCAAAAGUGAUGUCCGUUUUGCCGUCUGAUCUCUCAUUCAUUAUGAAAUGACUAUGAUGUCCCUAAAAUACAUAAAAUACUUAAUUAUAAUACAACACACAUAAUUAAAUGACAAGAAGCUUAAAUACAUAAAAGUAAGGGUGUUAGUAAAACUUGAAGUGUAAAAUAACGAUUUUCUCCUUUAUAAAUAUACAUUUUCUAACUCUCAACAGCUAUAUAUUGGCUUCAAUUUCUGUGGAAUUGCAUAAGAAACAUCGGAGCACGGAAACAACCACUAAAAUAAUGGCUAGUCUUCAUCAGAUGUUUGGGCAGAAUACUCAUUUUGCCAGAGAAGCAGCGUUGAAAUGUAUUACGGAUACUAAGAUGGAAGAGGGCACAAGAGUUCGUGAUCAUGUCCUCAAAAUGAUGGACUAUUUGAAUGAAGUAGAGAUUCAUGGUAUUCAAAUUGAUGAUAAAACAAAUAUUAACAUGGUGAUUGAAUCAUUGCCUGAUACAUUCAAAUAGUUUAAGGUCAGCUAUAUCUUAAACAAUAAAGAUAUGACCUUAAUUGAAUUAAUGCACGAACUACAUGCUAUAGAAGAAUUUUAUCAUAGCAAAAAUCUUCCUGAAAAAUGAUUAUCUUCAAGGCUUAAGUCGAAAGACAGGAAUAAGCAAGAAAGAGUUAGGAUUGGCAAACUGUCCACUAAAAGAAGUGGAAAGUCAAAAGGCAAGUGUUACAAAUGUGGACAGAAGGGUCAUUGGAAGAAAGAUUGUCCUAAGAUUAUUAAAAUCAGGUAUAUGAAAUCUUUAAGCUUCCUAAUUAGUUCAGAUUNNNNNUUAAUUAAUUAANNNNNUUAUCGUCCUUCUCCUCCAUUUUCUUUAAUUUCUCCGAUUAAGCUUGGUGGGUGACGAGUGUGGGGCGGCAAAUAUAAAAUGAAUCAUAGCAUUGUCGUAUUCUCAUCGACCAAUUGAAAGCUUAAUCCCACAACCACAACCUCCGAUCCAACAAAGUUUCGAAGGAAUGAUCACACGAUAGUCGGCAAGCUUAUUGUUUCAACACUAGCUAAUAGUAAGACCCACGUCUGCCCCUUGGACUUAAGCAAUGUCUCCAAAAAAAUUUGAAUAAUGCAUGCUUCAUAUUUCAAAUUUUAUUCUAAAAUGUUUGUCUCAAAUAUUGCAUUCUUCAAGUGAAUGAUGAAGUAAAAUUAUCAAUCAAAAUGAAAUUCGUGAAAUUUUUUCGUUAUUUGCUUGACGAAUGACAUAUGACAUGACAUCAUUCACCGUCAAAAUUUUAAAAUGAAAAUUAAUGUCAUGACAUUAUUCAUAAAAUUUUCGUGCAUGCGUUCAAGCUUAUGCUCAUAUAUUCCUAGUAAAUGUGUUUUUUUAACAUAUAAAUUGACUAAAUUUAAUUUGUUUGAGAAUUAAAUUUUGUGUAAUAUCAAUUUGUGUGUAAAAAAGUCAUGUAUACCAUCAUUGGAUUUUUUUUUUUUGAAUGCUGUAACUCCAAAAAAGAAAUAAUUCUUAAAUAUUUGUAAUUGAACAAAUGAUAAAAGUAAUUUUUAUGAGGGGCGAAAAUGUCAUUCUUCUUUUAACGUUGAUAUUCAUUUAUUGACUAUUGCUGUUACAGACUUCAACAAAUCCUACUACCACAAUUUCUUUUUUUUUUUGGAAUUUCACACACCAUUAAUCUACCCCUGUAUCCUAUUUCAUACACAAAUACAAAUUAAAUAAUUUUUUUUAAUUUCCUUAUUUUUUUCAAUCUAUGCAGAUUUUAUAUUUUUUAAAGUACAUAUAGGCAAAUUCUAGUGUUUGGUAAAUAAAUUUUACUAAAUAUUUAACCCUUCUUCUUCACGAAUGAUUAUUUCUACACUAUAACUAAUAUCAACUAUUUUAAAAAUUAUAUCAUUACAAAAUGACGACUUUAAUAAUAUGAAAAUAAAGAGGAAGUGAAAAGCAAUUAAGAAGGCAGUGACUAUAUGCGAUAGUGGAAAUUAGUAAUUUUAUUGUUCGUUUCGACUUUAGAUCAUAUAUUAGUCUAUUUCAUUCCAUGUGUUUAUAUUUUUUAUUUUAUCCAAUCGAUUGUCUCGUUUAUAACUCAGAAACUUAAAUUAUAUGUAAUCCCUUUAUUAUUAAUUUAUUAUUGAAGUGAAAUCUCCUCCCAAAUAAAUGAAGAGGGGAAAAAAAAUCUUAUCACACGAAAGUGAUAAUAAACAAUUGUACAUCAUCCUAUCCAAAAAAGGAAACUUACCACUAAUAAUAGUGAUGCGGCAGCGGGGCGGUUUCUAAUGAAAUUGUCUCGCAAUUACGGAAACUGGANNNNNUUAAUUAAUUAANNNNNUGGGAUGGGUUGGGAAUAAAUUUUUGCAACCGCUAAUUCCCAUUUCCCCCCCCCCCCCCUCAUUUUCCCCUUUUUCUCUAUGAAAGGUGCCUUCAUGACCAGCUUCAUAGAGUUUGCAAGCCUGUGAAAAAAGGAAAAUUAACUAAAGCAGAAUCAACAGUCAGCAGGUUUUACUUGAAGGCCAAGAAAGUUUGGACUAACAAAGUAGUUGGGGAUUGAAAUUGAAUGUUGAUUUUUUGUGGACUUCUCCAUCCAUGCGGGUGAAAUUACUUAAUAGUUACAGCUAUUAUAAGAUCAUGCCUUGAUUUCCAUCUCAAUUCAAUUUUGUGUUACACUUUCAUAAUUUGGAGUUUAAUUUUUAAUCCUAUUCCAACUUGCAUUAUACUUCAUUUAUAAGUCAACAAAUCACUUGCAAGCCACUUAAUUAGUUCAUGGUGUGUUUUAUCAAUGGGUAAUAAGAAUGGGUUGAAAUUGAAAUAAGCUGGCAUAAUAGGGAAUGGACACUAUAAUAAAUUGUUUACUUUAAAUGUAUGAAUGAAAAUCAAAAUCGAAACCGGAAUAAAUAUUGUCAUUAAUAUAUUUUCUUUAUCUUGAAAUUGAAAUGCAUUGUUGUAAGUUAUUAAAAUGACUUUAGUUGAUUAUAUUCAUUAUAUAUUAUAAAAAUUAUGAUUAUUAUUAUUCAAAAUAAUUAUUGUUAAUAAUAAUAAUAAUUAUUAUUAUUUAAUUAUUAUGACUACUAUUAUUAUAAUAAUCAUAACAUAAUAAUAAUUAUUUUGAUGAUGAUGAUGAUGAUGAUGAUGAUUAUUAUUAUUAUUAUUAUUAUUAUUAUAAAUGGGGUAAAAAGGGAUUUUGAAUUUUUACUAAAGGUACAAAUAUCAAUUCACUUGUCAUUCUUGCCUUUCCUUGGGAAUGAGAUUCUCAUUCCAUAAAUUUAUAAGGUCCAUUCAAAUUUCAUUCUCAUUCUCCGUCCUUAUAAGAAAUUUUAAAAUAUAUCAAAGGUAAUACAAUAAACUAAUACAUGUAUAAUAUGUAUAUUUAGACUUAAUAUGAUCACUACUUACAUGAUGAUUUUUCACAAUAAAUACUUAUAUGUCAUAACAUAAUUAUUUGGUAUAUGGCUGACCUCUGAUGUAUUAUAUAAUUUCUUUUAUUUUAGAUGUAAACAAGUAAAUAAAUCUCAUUCCCAUUUCCAUUCUCAAUUAGUAAAUACAUCAUAAAUGUUGUAAAUAACUAAUUUUAUUAAAUUAGUAGUGCAAUUAUAUACAAAUAAUAAUAAGAAAAUUAUAUUUACACCACUUUUAUUUUGUCGUAUAUACAUCUAAUCAUCUCAAAAGUUUGAAAUGUUUUUUGCACCACCUUUGUUUUUAAGUUUGUAUCAAUAAAUCACGUCGACACUAAAAAUGAUUAUUUUACCUCUAAAUGAAUUAAAAGAAUAUUUUAUUCUAUAAAAUUUUUAAAAANNNNNUUAAUUAAUUAANNNNNGUAAAAGAGAUUAUAAUAUUUAUUAUUAUACAUAUGGGAGAACAUUGGUGCUGCAGCACCAAGAGAGAUACGCUGCAGCACUAAAAUGAGAAAGCUUUGAGAUUGAAAUAUAAUUCCUUCGUAAUUAAUUAAUUAGUUUAUUUUAAAUAAAUGCGAAAAGAUGGAAGAAUGGGCCACAUAUAUCAUUUUCACCAAAUGAAAAAAUCUUCCCAAAACGCGAAAAGAUGGAAGAAUGGGCCACAUAUAUCAUUUUCACCAAAUGAAAAAAUCUUCCCAAAACGAUAAAAGAUGGAAGAAUGGACCACUGGGACUGAGUUCUGGCUUGGCGAAAAACCUGAAUCAGAUAACGUGAUAAACCUCAUCUCUAUUGUCAGCUGAAUAUGAGACUUUGAUUUUCUAACAUUGUUUUUAGCUGUAAUCAUAUUCCAAAAUCGAGUGUAUAAAUAUUAAAUAAUGUAAAAGUUGCCUAAACGAUUAAUCUAAGUGAGAUUGAAAUGGAUUUGUUGAUGGGUACGUAUUAUUUUUAGGAGCUUAUUAAAUUACAUAAUUAUGUAAUAUAUAUCAAUUCAACAGUUGUUACUAGUAACAAAAAAAUAUAAACAACAAAAAUUAUAUGUGAGUUAAUAAUAGCAACUGUUAGGUUCAUGUAUAUUACAUAAUUAUAUCACUUAACAACUGUCUUAUUUUCAAUAAAUAAAGAACCAUUUGUUGCAUUUCGUGUCUGUAUGGCGUUCAUUGAUUCUCUUUGUUGUUUAAUUUUAUAUUUCUGCAAAAAUCAACCGGUCUUGGAUAAAUUAUCUCACUACGAUCGAUAUACGUAUCAGGGAGGUAUCUAGUACAGGACCAGCUGAGGCACGUGCCCCCAGCUUGCUUUCGAUUUUUCCUUUUCUUCGUUCGUAAUCGUUAAAAUAAAGUACUUUGUUCAUAGUUUGAGAAAUUACCCCAACUGAAUUAUAAAAUUAUGAAAUCACCUCAUAGAUUUUUAAAAAGUUCACAUUGUCCCUAGAUUAAAUGUCUAAUUCUAAAUAAUUUGAUCAAUUACUAAAAUAUUGUGAAACUUAAAUAAAAAUAAAAAAACAAUAGACUAUUAAGAGUUUUUCUUCCAUCAAAGAAUGAGGAACAUUUGACGCAAGUGAAAUUAAGUCCCUUUUCUCUCUUUUGGUUAUGUUACCUGCGCCUGAAUCUUGAGCGAAACUUGAACAACAUAAAUUAAAAAAAAAAAUUACAAACAAAAGAAAUUAACUUUAAUCUUCUCUUUAGGGUUUCUUUCCAAUGCUUUGAAUCAAAAACACACUUUCUUUAUUUGUUUGUCACGAAGUUAAUGCAUGGAUUUCAUUCCAGUUCUCUAAAUCAGAAGUACUUUCCUUCAAUUAUUUAGUCUUUCAAAAUUGAUCCAUAAGUUGUAAGUCUAGAUAAUUCUAAUUUUUAAUUUUCGGAUUAAUUUUUUAUCUAGUNNNNNUUAAUUAAUUAANNNNNAUAAAAUAAUAAAAAUAAAUUAUGUGAGAUAAAAAAUAUUUAAUUUAAUUAAUUUAAUCGUUUGUAUAAAAUAAGUUUAUAUAAAACAUUUGUAAUUAGAUUAUUACUCUUGUAAACCAGUGCCGAUAUGUACAGUAUGCUAUUUGUGUGAGUUUUCUAUCCAAUUUUUCCGUCCAAUAUGAUUACAAAUAAAAAAAAGAAAAACGUGGACUCCAUCGACGAGACCUCACGUGGGCCCACUAAUCUUGAUGAUCUCAUCUUUUUCGUGUGAAAAAAAACACCCCCCUUACAACGACACCGUCUUUUCUUUGUCUUUCCAUUCGUUUUCGUCAGCCAACACAAACACUCACUUAAUAGCCCCCCCAUUUUCGUUCACUCCUAUCCAUUGUCCACGCGUCCAACGACGAUUGCUUCUCCGGCUCUAAUCACAGGAUUUUCGUUAAAUGGACGUACGACAUGGGCCCCAUCUCUGCGCAUACCAGACCGUCCAUGCACUUUGUGAAAAGAGAAUAAAACUAUUUAAGAGUUGUACUAUUGGCACCGUUCAUUAAUUUUAUAAAAUUUUAUUAUCUCACAAUUAUAUUUAAAAAUAAAUAUAAAUAAAAUAAAAUUAUUUAUAUUUUUUUUAAUUUUAUUUUUCUUGAGCAAUAUAAAUAUUUUUUAUUAUCAUUAAAAUAAUGUGAAUUUAAAAAAUAAUCCUUUAAGUUAAAACAAAAUUUUUGUAAUAAACAUAACAAUUUAAUUAAGAUACAAUACAAUAGAAAAAUAAGUCAAAUAAAAUUUUAUCCCACUGUAAAUAAUUUUUUAAGAAUUCUCAAACUAAUUACUAAAUGAAAAAUUUAUAGGUGAGAUAAAAUUGUAUUAGACUCAUAAAAAUAUUAAUUAUUUUCUAACUAUAAUAUUUUUCUUUUUUUAGAUUUUUUCUUUAAAAAUUAAUUAAUAAAAAAGUUUGAAGAGAGGAAUACCAAUAUUAAGACUGAAAAAGUGAAAAAUAUUAGAAACUAAAAAAUUCAUAAAUAAAAAAAAGUAUUCAUUUAGAAAAAAAUAGUAUUUUUGACAUUAAAUGAAAUAUAAUUAAAAAAAGAGUUUCAAUAAGAUUUUAGAGGGUGUUAAUGUUGGGGAAAAAUUAGGUUUUUAAAUUUUUUUAAAACCUUUUGAAGAUCGCUCUCAUAUAAUAUAUAAGAAUUUAUAUUCUAGAAAUCGUACCUUGAAAAUUUGAGUUGGCUUUUUCCGCUGAAGUGAUUUAGGCUCCUAGAUCACGAUCCGCCACCACCACUCCUGUUAGAUCACGAUCUGUCACCACCACGCUUGUUAGAUCACGAACUGUCACCAAUGAUCUUCCAAGUUAUGACUCAGGUUCGAUCUACACUUGACGUGUGGGCGCCUUUAUCACUACCAAAGCAACUAGCACGAGAAAAUUUUUCUCUCAACAAUAGAGAGAAAAAUCUUNNNNNUUAAUUAAUUAANNNNNCUUCCGGUGAUGUCCGGCAGUGGUCCGGCGAAGUCCGGUGGUAGUCCGGCGAUUUUCCGGCGGAUGUCUAUUUAUAAUAUUAAAUUAUUAAAAUAAAAUAAUUAUUAUUAAUAAUAUUAAAUAAGUUAAAAAAUUAAAGGGUAAUUUUGAAAACUUUAAUUUUUAAUAUAAGAGGAAUUUAAAAUUUUUACUAAUUAAUAUAAGAUAAUAUUAGAUUUUAUUUUUUUUUAUUUAUUUUAGUUUAACAAUAUAAAUUUUUUUAACUUUAAAUGGAUAAAUUAAUUGGAUUUUGGAUAUCCAUUAAAUAUUCAUACCCAUCCAAUAUUUAAUUAGAUAUUUUUUAAAAUAUCCAUAUCCAUAUCUAAGAAGAUUUUGAAUGGAUAUUAUCCAAUCUAAAUGGAUUGGAUAUAUGAAUAUCUAAUUUGGAUGGACCAAUUUACCAUCCCUAGGCAUCAGCAUAAUUCAGUACGUAAGCCAUAGAAAAAGACAACUAUGACACGUGUCUCUCACAGCCCACGUUCCAAGGAGUUGAAUUAUGAAUAUAAUAUAAAUAAUAUUUAUUUAAUUGUUAGAAGGAUUUCUCUGUCCCCGAACCACCUAAAUCAUACGAUAUUGUCAAGCCCAAGCCCAAGCCCAACCCCUCAACCAACCAGAUUCUUAAUUCUAUUCCAUUUCCUCUAUUAAAUAAUAAGGGAUAUUAUCAUUCGUAUACUCUAUAAAUAUUAUGUUAUUAAAAAUAUUACAAUACUUUAAGAGUAUAUUGAUCGUCUAUCAUAAAUUAACAAAAGUUAUCAGCCGACCACCAAACCGCUAGCUGUCGUUUGAAAGUUAAUGAAAUUAUAGUGAAUUGACGAUUUUACCUUUAUAAGUAUCACUUAUAUACCUUUAAAUUCUUUUAUUAUCAUUUGUAUCAUAUGAAAAGACCAAAUUAUCCCUCUGGCGUUAUCCUAUUUAAACAGUAAGUAACGGUUUGGUGGAGGCAGAUAUAUUUUGUCAAUUUAUGGUAGACGAUUGAUACACCCUCAAAGUAUUGUAGUAUUUUUUAUAACAGAACAUUUAUAGGGUAUACGAAUGAUAAUUUUUCAAAUAAUAAUUCUAAACUUUCAAGACACCCCACAAUCCCCUUUCAGUAUUAAAUAUAUGGGUCCGGUUACGGUACAACUAUGGUAUCGUGUUACAGUUACAUUCAGUCGUUGGAUCUAUUUAGAUGGAUGGAAUCUACUGAGAUUCAAAGGUCGGAUGUAAUUAUAGUACGGUAUCAUAAUUACACCAUAAUUUUCUUCUAAAUAUAUAUAUAAUGCAAUAAUAAUAGAAUAUUAUGAUUGUUAUAUACAACAUAUGGGUAGCGUGGCGUGGCGUGAGUUAUUUACGAUUAUAAGAUAAAAUAGAGGGUGUCAAGUGAAUAAGAAGUUUUGGCCCCGGGGGGGGGGGGGGGGGGGGGGGGNNNNNUUAAUUAAUUAANNNNNUUUUUUUAUUUUCUAGGGUUAAAUUGGUAAUUUAAUUAUUUUCUUUUUAUUAAUGUCCAAAGAAAAUUAUUAUAAAAGGGUAAUAUUGUAAAAAUAAGCCAAAAUAAAUGAAAAGUAACGGUAGGGGUAUCAUACUUUAACAACAGAGAUGUUUUGAAAUAUUUUUAAAAAUACAGGGAUUAAAUGGACACUAAUCCUAAAACACAUGGAUUAAAUGAGUUUUUACCCAUCAAUAAUUAAUCAAACAUGGAAAAGUAAUCGAAAUUGAAAAAUCUAUACAGAUAGGGAAAUUCUCCUUUUGGCAUCAGUGGGUCUACAUAAUUUAUUUUGCAUCAAUUAUGCACCAUCACAUUCUUCAACUGCUUUCAAUUAUUUAUGCUCCAAUAACUGCGAAUUGUUCUUUUCAGUGCAAUCAACUUGCAACUCCCCUAAUCGCAAAAAAACUUACAACUUCCCUUUCAUAAAUAGUAGUGCCCAUUUCCCCAGUAGUCUCGCAUUAACAUUUAAACAUGAUUAUCAAACACUUGGUUUAGUGGUGACCCUUUAUUUUUAAGGUCAGAAGUUACCUAAUCUUUUCAUAUAGAUAUGGGAGUAGAUUUUUUUUGUUUUUCUCCCAAUUUCACAGUAAUUAGCUAGUAAACCCCUCUAACCUUAGAGAAGAGUUGAGAAGUUAUGGAUCGAAUUUCUGAUUGAUUACAUUAAAAAUGGUUCCGUUAAUUUCCAUCAAACUUAUUUUUAUAAUAUCAAUACACUAAGGGCGUGUUUGGCGCCCCGCAUAACACUGUAUUAGAACGCCAUAUUGUAUUAAAAUAUUACAAUAAAAUGAUUGGCUGCUAUGCGGUAUUGCAUAAAAAAAAAUUAAUGCAGCAAAACCCGUAUAAUGGAAUCUAGCGUGAGUGUCGAGUUGAUUUGAUUUAAUUUUUAUUUUACAAAUUAUAUAUUUAAAAAAUACUGAAAAAAUAAAUGUUAUGCUACUAAAAAUUUAAGGUCAUAAGCUCAAAUCUAUUGAAGAAUGAUGAUAUAUUUUUUAACAUUUAUAUUACAACAAUAAUGUUAAAUUUUCAAAAUUUAAGACUUUUAUAUUCAAUAUUUUUCUAAGUAUUAAAUAUUAAUAAAUAUUAUUUUCUAAAUAUGUAAUUUAAAUUAAUCAGCAAAGGAAUUAAUACAAUACAAUGCAACACCAAACAUAGUAUAACUAAAAACUAAUACAAUAUAGUGUAGCACCAAAUAUUGUACAAUAUUAUUAUAAUAUAGUGUUAAUACAAUACAACAUAAUACAAUACACCUGCAUUAAAAUAAUGCAAUACAACGUAAUACAAUAUAACGUGUCAAACGUACCCUAAUUGUAUUGUAGUAUCUAAAAAAAAAAGAUAAUUAGACUGUUUUAACCAUGAUUAUCUAACAUUAGAUUGAAUUAAAAGAGUCAAAAUUUAUGUUAAAAUNNNNNUUAAUUAAUUAANNNNNAGCAAAUUCAGCCAAUCGUAAAUACUUGCUCCAUGAUCCUUGAAAGUUGAUAGCAUAUCCUCGUAACAUAUCUUCAAGCGUCUGAAUCAUUUUUUCUGACUAGUCGUCCAUUUGAGGGUGAAAUUUUGUACUAAAUUUUAAUUUUGUUCCUACAGCGCUAUGUAACUUUUCCCAAAAUGUCAAGGUAAACCACGUAUCUUGGUCAGAAAUAAUAGAAACAGGCACACCAUGUAGUCUUGCUAUCUCCUUUAUGUAUGUCUCUGCAAGCUGGUCCAUAGUGUACGUCAUUUGAGUAGGCAAGAAGUGAGCAGACCUUGUGAAUCGAUCGAUGAUCACCCAAAUAGCUUCAUGUAUUUUUGCAGUCCUCGGAAGACCAAUGACGAAGUCCAUUAUGAUUUCUUCCCACUUCCAUUAUGGAAUUUGAUUGGAUUCUGAAAGUCAUGUUGGUCUCUAGUGCUCUGCUUUGAUUUGUUGACAAGUGAAAUAUUUUACCACGAACUUGUUUUAGCUUUAAGUAGGAUUUCUUUCUUUGGAUCUUCAUUAUCUGACAUAUAUAUCCUGUCCUCGAAUAAGAUGAUUCCCUUCUCUGACUUCUUGAAUGACGUCUCCUUUGAGUUGACCUUUAUAUUCAAGUUCUUCAAGUAGGAAUCGCUUUCCUGCCGCUCCUUAAUCUUUUCUACUAAGGUCGAGUGAAAUGUCAUGUUGGCUAAUUUUCCUACUACUAGCUCGAUCUUUGCCUUGCAUAUAUCAUUUUGUAAUGGCUUAGGUAGAAUCCUUAAAGCUGACAAGCUUGACUUUCGACUUAGUGCAUCUACUAGCACAUUUGCUUCUCCAGAAUAAUAGUUUAUUUUGCAGUCAUAGUCAUUACUAUGUAGCCCCAUUAAAUAAUGACGUCAUGUAUUUUAAUAUGUGCACCACCGCUGCCAACUCUAAAUCGUGCGUAGGAUAAUUUUUCUCAUACUCCUUCAAUUGUUUGGAAGCGUACGUAAUGACUUUUCCAUUUUGCAUGAGGACUGUUCUGCAAAAUUUAUUGUACUUGUAGGCACACGAAUCUACCGUAGAAUAGGUUUUGUGGCGACGACUGUCGAAACCAUGAGGAGGUAGAUUUAAUUAUGUGUAUAUGUGAGUUUAUUCGAAGUGAAAUUUUUUUCAUCUUAAGAUUUAAAAUAAAAUGGUAGGAAUGAAUUAAAGAUGAAAACAAUGCAAAUAAAACACUUGAGUCUCUAGAUUCACACUCAACAUUCAUCAUGAGCUAAUAAAUAUAGUAUCAAGCGCUCAUUGUGCUAGAGGUAAUGAUCUUCCACUAAGUGUGGUGUUAAGAACACGCUGUGUUAGACGAUAAUAAUCUUUCUGUUGAAAACGUGGCAAGACCGUCCAUUAAAUAGCUUAGAUACACUCUUUGCCAACACUAAGUCAUGAUAACCCACAAAAGACUAUACAUANNNNNUUAAUUAAUUAANNNNNUUUUUUAUGAAUUUGUUUUGAGGACUCUCUGGAAUCUGUCGGCUCGCCGUUUUCUUUAUAACGGCUCGCCGUUAUCACGCGUUAAUUGAACAGUCCUUCGCCUUCCUCCUCAUUUCGGCUUCUCUUUCUCUCUCUCUCUCACCUCAACCCGCGACUGCACCAGUUCUCUCCUCUCAAAUCCAUCACUUUUCUUGUCAUUUUUCACCAAAUUGAAGCAUUACAAACCAUUUCUAUCAUUUCUAACACCUUUUAACCGAUUCAAAUCCUUCUCUUUCUUCAAAUUUUGAAAAAUCUCAUCUUGAAACCCUAGAACCAGCCGACUCUCAUUCGUUCACUUUGACCCAAAUUUCUUCGUCUUUCCAACCACAUUUUCACCCACAAUCACUAUCUCAUCUCUAAAACUUCAUUUUCACAAUUUUUCUCAUCCAUGGCGGAACGACCUCCAAGGCGUGUUCGAACCAAGCACACUGCUUCACGCCGUUCCAGUCCACCCAGGUCUCCUCCUCAAGACUUCGAAAGUCUUCAUUUUCCCGAUGCUACCUCUGCUCAGCGAUUCCGUGAGAAGUUCAUGGGUAAACCCGUAACUCCCUCUUUUUCUCUUAACACUUCGGAGUUCUCGGAUAUUUCUGUUUGUGGUCACUCAAUUACUCAAAUGCUUAGUCAUUGGAAACAAGCUUUAAGUGUUGAUGAACCUAUUUAUGAAAAUCUUGUUCGAGUCUUUUAUUCAAACAUCGAUUUCUCCUCUUCUAGUCGUGACGAGCUUCAUACAUUUGUAGGAGGUAUUCGUAUUGAACUUGAUGAACCCGAAUUAUGUAGUAUUCUAGGAAUCGCUUAUGGAGGAUUAGAUCUGUACACCUCUAGGAAAGAACUAGAGUUUAGUAAUUUUCGUCAUGUGGAUGGUGUACGGAACAUUUGUCGUCGUCGGGAUCUUUCCGAUGACAUCUGCUCUUUGUCCUUUAGGUCUCAACUCCUCCCUUUUCAGAUUCGAAUACUUCACAUUAUUCUCCAACACAUGGUCACUCCUAGGCAGGGUCACACUGAUGAGGUCACUAGGCUUGAUAUUGGUCUUUUAGACUCUCUCAUCCGUAGACGCCAUGUGAGCCUAUCCUACACCAUUAUGUGUCAUAUGCUGACCACUCCUAAAGUCUCCAACCGAUCCCUUCCUUAUGGCAGCAUCAUUACUAAAAUCUUGAACCACUUUCAUGUUCCUAUCGUCGAGCCUGUUUUUCUCGAGACUCGUAAACUCGGUCGAGACAUUAUUUCUGCCAUUGGUUUCUUUAAGAAGCGUGGGAAAUGGGAAAAGACCACAUCCUCCAAAAACGAAGCCACACUGAUUGCACCCGAGGAUGAUCGCAUGCUGAAUGAUGUCUACUCCGAGGAUGAGCUGCCUGACUUCCGUCUUGGGGCUAGACCACGUGUUCCUCGUCGAGCAGCAGCCNNNNNUUAAUUAAUUAANNNNNGAGCCUUGCAUCCUUCCCUCCAUUUGUAGCUCAAGAGUAUGCUCAGGAUAUUAACGCAGAGGAUGAAAAAGGGAAGAAAUGGCCGCUUCGCUUGAGAAUUCGCAAGGGAAAGCAAAAGAAGCGUGUUCUAUCUGCUGGUUGGCGCCGUUUUGUUCGGCAGAAGGGGCUUCAAAUUGGUGACAAAGUUUUGUUUUUUACAGGACACAACGAAGCAGAGAUUGCAACUGGAGUCAAGUACAAGAUCAAAGUGCAGAAAGCAGUCAAGGUGUUUAAUGUUGUUUUCGGCCAUGCGCCAUGUACUGAUUAGGAAAUAUUUUUAUACGGAGGCUGCUAACUUACAACUGCUGUAAGGUGCAGCCUCUCACGUAAACAGCAUUUAGGAUUUAGGUUCAUAUCAGAUACUGGCAACUUGCACCUGCUGUAAUGUGCAGCCUUGAAGUAUUUGUGACUUGACCCAUAUCAGAUACUGUUAGUAUUUUUAUAUUUAUUCCAGUAAAGUUGUAGUAGUUGCAGAUUCUGCAACCUAGCCUUGUCCUAAAGUUGUAAUUCAAUAACAGUCAAGGUGUUUAAAGCCAUUUUAGGCUUUUUAUUACUCCUCAUAAAUUUAUUAUUCCAAUAAACUUCGUCGUGCCGCGUGAGACUUCCCACACUGACGUGCCUGCACUUUGCCAAAUUGAACCACAAUCAGUUUAAUUUUCAUUACUUUUGUGUUAAAGCAUUUCUGGGUUUGAUUUUUUUUUUUUUUUUUCUGCUGUUGUUGUGGGUAGCUAUUAAUUUUGCCAGUACAUUUUAGUUGGCCUCAUGAAUUGUUAUGUUUUUACUUACAAUUAAAUAUUGUUCAAAGAUGAACAAAUAGACUAAUUUUGCUUUUGAGAAAAUUAAUUAAUUAGUUAAACAAGUAAUUAAAAAAUUAAUUAGUUGAUACAUUUAUACGGGAGAUUGGGGGGAGCAGAGGUGAAGGACAGAGAAUUGGAGGGGAUUUGUGUGUAUACUUGGAUGGUAGGAUUGGAACGGUGUGGUCUACCUGUACAAAUCUAAGAUGUUCCAUGAUACUUAACAUUCAAAAUAUACUGAUAUUGUGAAUAAAUAAAGUAAAAAUAUUGUUUUAUACACCACUUUAUUAUACUUUAUCUUAUAUGUAUUCUAUAAUAUUUAUGCUUGUCGUCAUUUAUGUAUGAUCAUAUUAUAUUGUAUUAUUUUAACGUAAUAUUGUUCAUUAAUUUUCUACUUCUAUCUUUGUAUUAAAUAUUAUUAUCAUAAUCCAAAAUUCUCUUCACAGUCUCACUCUUCCUCAACUGUCAAUCUUUCAUCAUGAGAUGACUAUACAACUACUACAAACAAUAAUAAACAACAUUAGUGAAACUAAGAUAUGAGUUGUGAAUCAUCAUCAAAUUAUAACAACAUCCGAAGUUAGCUCAAUUCUUUUUUUUUUNNNNNUUAAUUAAUUAANNNNNUAUAUAUAUAUAUAUAUAUAUAUAUAUAUAUAUAUAUAUAUAUAUAUAUAUAUAUAUAUAUAUAUUUAUUUAUUUAUUUUCCAUUGUGAUUGUCUUCGUAGCCAUCAUCGUCAUCAUCAUUCAUUAUCAUUAUUCUUGCGGUUUUUAUACCUGGAUGUGCAACAAAUUAAAAAAUUUAAAAAAGGCACAUAAAUAUUUCAUUAAGCAUAUGAAGGUUAUAAGAGUAAUUUUACUAAACAAACAAAAUUAACUUUUAACUUUUCGAAAUCACUUUUCAGCCUUUAAAAAACAAUAUCGAUUGGGCUCUUAGAAUAUCAUAGGUUUCAUUAGUGUUGUGGUGUUGUAUUUUUAAGUUAUAGUUCGUUAUUGUGAAAUAAAAAUUUUAAAUGUGAAAUAAAAGUUGAUAGUAUUUGAUAAACAUGAUUUUUAAAUAAUAGUUUUUUGACAAAACUAAUAAUGAUGUUAUAAUUUUCUAUGAAAUAAAAUUAUUCAACUUCUAUUAACACAGCUGUAAUUGUUUAUUAAACACUUUAAAGCUGUGUUUUUUAAGCCACGACUCCUCAGCACGAGCACUAAAUGGAGCCUACAUCAAAUUGAUUAAAUUUAAAUUUGAUUUUGACAAGAAUAAGCUAAAUAGGACCGACUCAACCUAUGUCGUUUCUAUUCAGCUAUUAACUUCAAUAAUUUGAAUCAUGGAGUUGUUAUUCUUUGUUGAUAAAUAAAAUAAAAUAAUUAUCGAUCUUAAUUAAUUUUGGUUUUUCUUUUCAUGAAAUAUUCAAGUUGCAAUUUUUUUUUGUAUUUUUAUAAGCGAAGGAAACCAAUAUGCCAGAUUUUAUAGAGGAUAUCGGUUUUUGGCAAAGCCUUAACAACUAAGUACCACUCAUGACUUGGGAUCUUUUAACUUAAAAUCUUAGGGUACAUGCUUAAACCACUAAUUCAUUAACGAAUGGUUUCUUUAAAUUUUUUUCUUUUUUAAAAAUUAAUAAUUUCAAUAAGGGGACCUGAUGCUAGAGAGCGAUUUCUAUUUAUGCAUGGCAUUAGCUCCGAAGAUACGGAAUAAAAAGCAGUACCUGUAUGUCCAACUUUGUAUGUAUUUCAAUUUUUGAAUAAAUGUUCUUUUAGUCUUAUAAUAAUUUGAGUUAGUUAUUCAAUUUGUCCUUAUAAUUUUAAAAAUUACAUGAAAUACACAUUUUGUUACUUUCAUAGUUGUUGUACUUAAUUUUUUAAGGUAAAAUAAUAAUUCUGUCUGAUCUAACAUAAAAUUGAAAUAAAUUUAACAUGCAACUAAUGAAAAUAUAAGAUAAUUAAGUAUAUUUUAACAAAAAGAAAUAUAUACACAUAGACCUUUAAAUUUUUUCUAAAAUAACAAAAUUUCUUAUUACAAAAAUCAAUACCCUUUCAUAUAUAUAUAUAUAUAUAUAUAUAUAUAUUNNNNNUUAAUUAAUUAANNNNNCCUCACUAAAGAAGAGUUAUAUGUAUAUAAUUUUUCAAUGUGAAAUCAUUUGAAUUAUUAAAGUAAGACAAAAAAAAAAAUUUCAACACACUAUAUAACAUAAUACACAGCAAUGAAUUUGUGUGCUUUGUUUAUAUUUUAGUUUAUUUCUUUCUUUAAUAUUUUAAAUGAUAACUUGUUAGAUAAUGACUACACACACACGAUCGCGUGCAGUAACUGGGAAUCCUAUUACACCUAAAGCCAACUUCAAUUCACCAAACCAAGGUUAAUCUCGUGUAGUGACUAUGGACUCGUACAAGGAUAUUGACGGACCGAACCAAGGAAAAACUAUCUCAUAAUGGAUGAACGGAAAUAAUCCUUUAAUAAGCAAAUUUUUAUAUAUAUAGAGAAAGACAAAGAGAGAUUUUUCAGACCUUAACAAAGUGUAAAAUCCUAAAUUAGAACAUUAUAUAUGUAUGUAUGUAUGUAUAUAGAGGAGUAGUUGAUGCCUAAAUGAAUUUUUAUGCCCUAUUUCCCCUAGGAUUCGAACUCAGUUGGCCAAUUACAAAAUAGUUAAUUAAAGAACUAUAUACAUAUCAAAUUGAUCUUUAAUAAGUAGAUUUGAAUUUUUUUUUUCCAAAAAACAAAUUUUGAAAACAAAUUUUGAAAAGUUGUUGGUACCAAAAGAACCCUUGCACUUCGCGAUUAUGACAGUACUAGCUAGUUUAAGCUUAGUCGAAUUAAUAAAUUUUUUUUUUGAAGUUACAUGGUAAUCUAAGGCUCCCUUUGACAAUUAAACAUUACAAGUCAUAAUUACAGUAAAAUAAAAAUUAUAAUUGUGAAAUAAACUUAUCAGAUGUGACUUUUAAAUUUUGAGGAAUAAUAUUUUUGAAAAAAAUUUGAAAAAUAAUAAUUUUUUUUUAAAAAAAUGAAGCUAAUACUAUGAGUUCCUAUUUAUUUGGAAUUAAAUUAAUAUAACUUUUAAGUUGUAAUAUAUUUUAUGUAUCCGUAACAUACUUUUACUGCUGCAGCUAUGACAUCAAAGUUAAAAGCAUACUAACUGUUGCGACACAGCAACACCAUGCAAAGCCUAAAUGAACUUACACAUUCGUUUGAACUUGUCUUUUAAAUGAGUCAAAUGCUCGCUUUUGGUAACACUGAAAUAGAAAUCUGGAUAAUCGGAUUGAUAGAAAAUGUUGGGUGGAUUUGCGGUCCCGAUUGCUAGAAUUGCAGCAGGGCCUCGACCUCGAGCCUGCCGACUCUCCAUGAUAUUUCCCAUCGACGCCAUAUUUUUGCCAGCUGCUUCAAAGUUUUCAGUGUUUUAUGAGCAGAUGAUAUAAGUUAUAACUGAGCUUCUUUGCUUUUAUAGGCCAAAGCGUCUGUGCAUUCAUUCAUUGCGCCUUCGGUUUUGGUAAAUCACAGCUUUACAAUUUAAAAAUAGAAUAAUCUAANNNNNUUAAUUAAUUAANNNNNAAAUUCUUCUCAAAGUUGGAUUUACGAGCAGGUUACCACCAAAUCCGUGUGAAGGAGGAGGAUGUUUCAAAGACAGCCUUUCGUACACACGAGGGACAUUACGAGUUUCUUGUGAUGCCAUUUGGACUUACCAAUGCUCCUGCAACCUUUCAGAGUCUCAUGAAUGAUCUUUUUCGUCCAUAUCUUCGGAGGUUCAUACUUGUUUUUUUUUACGACAUAUUGGUGUAUUCUCGAACUUGGGAAGAUCACCUCUCGCAUCUUCGUCAAGUUUUAGAUAUUUUAUCAACUAACAGCUUGUUUGCCAAAGAGUCAAAGUGUCAAUUUGGAGUUUUGCAGGUUGAGUAUUUGGGUCAUAUCAUCUCCGAAAAAGGUGUGGCUGUUGAUCCUGUUAAAAUACAAACAGUCAUUGAUUGGCCUACGCCAACGAUGACGAAGGGGGUUCGUGGAUUUCUUGGUUUGGCUGGAUAUUACCGGAAGUUUAUUCGCAAUUUUGGGUGUAUAGCAGCUCCUUUGACCAUGCUCUUAACUAAAGAUGGCUUCCAUUGGAAUAAGGAUGCAGUCGCGGCUUUUGAUCAAUUAAAAACAGCAUUGACUUCUCCACCUGUUUUGCGUCUACCGGAUUUUUCCCAACGCUUUGUGAUCGAGUGUGAUGCAAGUGGGAUCGGAAUUGGAGCCAUCCUCUCUCAACAAAACAAACCAGUAGCUUAUUUUAGUGAGGCCUUAAAAGGCUCUGCUUUGGCGCUGUCCACAUAUGAAAAAGAAAUGCUUGCUAUCGUUAAAUCAAUCCGCAAAUGGCGACCGUAUUUACUCGGGAAACCAUUUACCAUUCGAACUGACCAAAAAAGUCUCAAAUAUCUGUUGGAACAGCGGAUCACAACACCAGCACAAACUCGAUGGCUACCUAAGAUCCUUGGGUAUGAUUAUGAAAUUGAAUAUAAAAAGGGGGCUGAGAAUCAGGGUGCCGAUUCAUUAUCUCGAAUGGUGGAGUUUUUAGCAAUUUCGUUACCCCAUGCAAAUUGGUGGCCAGUUCUUCAACGGGAGGUACAGCAGGACACGUUUUAUGAAGGCCUAUCUCAGAGGAGCUCGUCUCAGUCUAACCAGUUGUUACAGAGAGAUGGAGUUUGGUUCAAACGUGAUAGAGUUUACUUGAGUUCCACUUCCUCACUGAUUCCUAAGAUAAUCUCCGACUGUCAUGCAUCUCCUGUAGGUGGGCAUUUCGGUUACCAUAAAACUCUUGCUCGCAUCAAGCGUAGUUUUUUAUGGCCCAACAUGAGGCGGACGGUGAAAGAAUUCUUGCAACAUUGUGACAUCUGCCAACGAUAUAAAGUAGAUAAUAUGAGGCCUGCCGGACUAUUACAGCCGCUACCCAUUCCGAAACAAAUGUGGACUGACGUUUCAAUGGAUUUCAUAGAAGGGUUACCAUCUUCUANNNNNUUAAUUAAUUAANNNNNUUUUCCUUUGUUCAAUUUCCGAGAGGCUUUGCAUUCGGAACAAUUCCUCUUUCCCGUUUUGAAUCUUUGCUUUAUUGCUUUACAGAAUUAUUCCCUAAGCUUAUCACGACUAGGGAAUUAUUCCUUUAAGCUGAGGAGGGAACAUUAUUAUUGGGGAAUUAUUCCCCUAAGAAUAUAAGGAAUUAUUCCUGUAGGGGAAUUAUUUCCUUAUGAUUAUGGGGGAUAAUUUUUGCUGGGGAAUUACUCUCCCUAGGGAAUUAUUUCCUGAAGCUUAUAGCAUAUUAUUUCCCUAUAUGUAUAGGGAGUAAUUUUUGCUUGCGAAUUAUUCUUGCUAUGGAAUUGUUUCCCUAUGCUUAUGAGGAAUUAUUCUUGUUGGGGAAUUAUUCUUAUUAGGGAAUUAUUUCCUUAACCUUAUAGGGAAUUAUUCUUAUUAGGGCAUUAUUCUCUAAAGCUUAUAGGGAAUUAUUCUUGCUGGCGAAUUAUUUCCUUAACCUUAUAGGAAAUUAUCAUUGUUGGGAAUUAUUCCUUUAAGCUUAUAGGGAAUUAUCAUUUUGAUAAAAUGGUGUUGCAUUUGAAUGUAUCAAAGAUUUUCUGAAUAAUGUAAGCAUUCAUCAUUGAUAACGUUGAUAUAUACAUUGGCAUAGAUUUCGACUUCGGACUUUUGACUACCAUAUCAUCAGUGUAAGCUUCCACAAUAUUCCUCAACAAUCCAUUGAAGAUUUUGGUCACAAGCCUUUUAAUAGCUGGAACUAGCGUUUUUCAACCUGAAAAGGCAUGACUUUGUAGCAAAAUAGAGCUCUUGGAGUGAUAAAGCUUAUUUUUUUCGCAUCCUUUGGAUGCAUUGGGAUUUGUUGUUUCCGCUGUAUGCAUCCAAAAGGGAAAGCCUUUAGUAGCUAGUGGUAGCAUCCACUAAUUGAUCAAUUUUUGGCAAGGGAAAGGAUCCUUCGGACAGGCUUUGUUAAGGUUUGUGUAAUCUAUGCAUACUCGCCAUUUUUUUUCACACCACAACAACAUUAGAGUUCAAUUCAGGGUAUUGAACAUCCCAAAUGAAUCAAACCUUGAAGAGGCGUUCCAUUCCAUUUAUGAGCAAAUCUCCCAUGUUUUUGUUGCAUUAGUUUUACCAUUGGGUCAGUUGUUAAUUGGUGGUAUGCAACUUCUGGAUAUAUUCAGAGCAUGUUUGUGUGACCAUGCAAAAGCAUCGUACUUCCUCUUGAGUAGGAAAAUCAUAUGUGUCUUUUCCACUUGAGCCAAUUUGCACCCUUUUUUAUGAGGCUAAAGGAUCUAGGGAUAUUGUUUCUAGUUCUUCAAUGACAAGCUCCUUGUAGUGCAAGCAUCGAGACAUUCAAUUUGGAAUUGGAUUUUACAGUUGUUAUUUAGCCCCAUCCUCCAGCAAUUGCUCUGGUGAAGGAAAAGGUUCCUCAAUANNNNNUUAAUUAAUUAANNNNNUCUAACCCUAAGCUAAGCCUAUUUCCUUUCUGGGCAAGUAAAAGCUUUUUCUUAAUUAAUUUAACUGUUUAAUGAAAUUCAGUGUUAUAAAAUAAGACGUUAAUAUGUUUAUACUUAUAUUCAUUCUUUCUUUUUCUUUAUUUUUUCAAAUAAAAAAAUUAUUUUACCUUUUUGGUUUCUCUGUAUACUGGUGCAAGUGGGUGCUUGAGUUUCUUAGUACAUAUAAACUAACGAGUUUACCUCAAAUGGUUUUAAUGUCAAACAAUUUCAGGAGUCAUUUGUUAAGGAUGACUUUACUGCAUAACAUCAGAUAUUUUAUUAGAUAAUAUUUAUGUGAAAAAUAAAAAUUUUCCUGCAAGUCCUUAGAAGUGGUGAACAGAGGAUUAUGUAAUUUAGCAUUUUAGUCAAGUGCUUUAUCAGGAAUCUCACAAUGCGCAGACUGUGAGGCUGAGAAGGAUGACGAGCCGGUUGAGGUGUUUUGUAAAAUGGCGGCGAAGAAUUGCAUAUGUUCUGUACUUUGACUAAUUGAUAGAGGUCUAGUAGAGGUUAAGUGAAGUUCUUGAAGUUUUUGAACAGCCGAAGAAGAGUGAUUUGAACCGGAAGCGCAUACUUGCAAUGCUCUUUUGGGGCUUAGUGUUGGUCAAUGAGGAUGCAUAUAAGAUGAUGGACGAGAUGGGAAAGUGUGGCAUUGGUCCGAAUUCUCGACUUUAUGAUAUAGUCAUUUUCUCAUCAACUAACAGAGGCUAGACAAAUUAAAGAGGCUUACUCAGUUUUUCAGAGAGCAGUAGUAAGCCACCUAACCCAGCCAACUCUGAGUACCUAUGAAAUUUUUAGGAUGCUUUGCAAUCAAGACCUUGUAGAUAUGGCAAUGAGGAUUUGAGAACUGAUGAAGUCAAAGGGCGUGCUUCCUAGAAUGCACAUUUUAUUUUGAAUUCACAGUCUAAACUUGGGAUUACUCCCAUUUCAAUUUUUUUUCCCCGGAUAGCACAUAAAAUGGUUAGAUGCAAGAAUGGAAAAAAAUGAGACAAGUCAAAAUAUUGCCCCAGUAUCAAGCUUCUGUCAACCUUUUACCAGUCUGUGUCUUUUGGCAAGCUAAGUAAUUGAUCAAAGGAGACGCUUCUGGUAGAAAGAUAUGAACCAAAACUUCACUAACAAAAUCAAAAACUCUGAAGAAAACAUCUCACGGCAUAGCUUUUGUGAUUUACAAAGCCAAAAAUACGAAGAAACAGAGAAGAAAAAGCCACAAAAGUUUUUCUGAUUUUCUGAUCUGAGAUGAUUGCGACAUAUUAUUCAGGUAGAAUACCUUCAACACCAUGAAUAAACGUCCAGUCACUCCGAUACAAGUUAAGCGACAAGACUAGCUAAUCAAGAGACAAGUCCUUGCGAGUUUGCUUCGUAUUGAUCUUAAACCGUCCAAGAAUGCNNNNNUUAAUUAAUUAANNNNNAAUAUGGAUUAAGAGAAAGCAUUAGAACAUGUCACAAAAGAAGCCCACAUUUAACCAUUUGAUUUGAUCAAAAUGGGAUUAAUUAAUUAAAGACAAAAUUAAUUAAUUUAGCUAUUUAUUUAUUUGAUUAAAUAAAUUAUUAAAGUGAUAAGAUCACAUUCAAUAAAUAAUGGCUUAGUGGGUGGGUCUAGCACAUGAUAAUGUUUGGUGCCAUUAUUGAAGAUAACGGUGGCUUUAUUUGGUGGAAUGAAUUAUCAUGAACUAGCAUUCAUGUUUCUUCAUUAUCUCUCUCAUUUCUAAACGAAAUUUCGUGAUUCAAAAUCCUAUGAACUCCUAGAACAUUUCUAAGUGUGGACCAACUAGAGGUAUCACAAUUGGGGUGCUUUAAGGAUCUCAAAUCGUGGCAAAACAGAAGCUGUUCGUGCAGAGGUUUAUGUUCUGGACAGUGUUCGUAGCUUGCUGUUUUCAGUCAUUUUCUCCUACUUCACGAAGUCGUUUUUGAAACUACAAGUGAAGUAAGUAAAGUUCAAUCUUUUCUCUUGAUUUUCGUUUUUGAAUGAAGGCGAUCCGAGGUUUCUAGAGCUUCCGCCAUCCGUUUUAAUUUUACUGCACAAAAGUUGCGUUUUUUUAGGAGCGUCAUGGACAAAUGUUGUCCUUUAGGAAUAAACCUGAUGUUCUUACCUGAUGAACUGGUGAAGAAUGUGCAAUAGCUUUACAUUUUUUAAGAUAUGAGAGUUUAACUCUUGGUGGAGAAGCUGUUUGUGAAUAAGCUUUAACAAACACACCUUGAGAAUUUGAGUCUUUAUGAUAUUGAUAUCCAAGACCAUGAUGAUCUGAACUAGAUUUGCUAAGUGACAAGAUAUGGUCUAACUUCUGAGUUCCAGAAUUCAUCAUCUUAAGUGAAUUUUUUGUAUUAUCUAAUUUUAUCGUCACUACAAGUCUUUGUCAUUAAGUAAAGACUUGUAAUGAAUUACUUCGCUCUCAAGUUUCGCCUUAUCAUCUAAAAGAUUGGAUACUUGAAUCAUCAAGGUCACAUUCUCAUUAUAGACUUCUUCCCAUUUAGCGAACAUCAUCUUGUAGCUUUCAUGAAAAACUUUCUUGUCAUUUAGAUCAAUGUCACUGACGUUGCUAUCUGAAUUAUUAUUCUGGUUAACAUGUUGCGCAAUUGUGUCAAGACGAGAAUCAUUGUCUUCUUUGCAAUGAGCUAAUUUCAAGGUUUCAGAUGUGGAUGCAUCUUUGAUGUUUGAUUCAUGUUUAUUGCCAUCAUUAUGCACAACAAGUCCUCCAGCAAGGUCUUCUCCAUCAAUGCUAUCAUUUGAAUCAUUAUCACUCCAAGUGGAUUGCAUUGCUUUCUUUUUCAUAAUAGUGUUAGUAUAUUGUGCUUGUAUGUGUCCUAUGCCUCCAUAUUCUCUGCAUUGAAUACNNNNNUUAAUUAAUUAANNNNNUUAAGCCCGUACCACAACCCAAACUAAUCUCCACUCGCACCGGGUCGGCCCGUAAGGGGUAAAGUGCUGGCCAAAGUGGUGAUUCCAUACAAUUAAUAAAUGAAAAUUAAGUUUGUCAUUGUCUUUACAUGAUGUCGUUUUAAAGAAUAAUUUUGCAAACGCAUAAAAUAGUAUGCAUCCACACAUUACAUCCACACAUUAUAUCUACUAUUCUAGCAUGUAGAUUGUGUGCGAAUUUUGGACACCUCGUAUGUGUUGUAGCUAUCAGCUUUGUCUUUCUCUUCAACUGAUCACAAAGUUAUAAAUUCUUAGAUGCAUACGAUAUAAAAACAUGAAAACAACAGGUGAUCACGGUUGUGUAUGGUGCAAUGUACGGUGGUUUGCGGAGGUUGAGUGGCGGUGCAAGAUGUAACACAAUUCUACGAGACUCUUGAAAUUUUCCCCGCCUAAAAUGAUAAUUUUCAACUUAUCUCUUCAGCUUAAUUGAUUGGACAUCUGAAUUCAAAUCUUGAGAGAGGUAGAGAUAGACAUCCAAAACUGGAUUUGAAUUUAGACCAAUAUCUCUUAUUAUUAAGAAAAUAUAACAUUGUUACUUUAUAACACCCGCUCAACAUAUAAAUUUCUUACCUUAAAUGCUAAAACAUUUCUUUCAUCAUGUUAAACAUUACUAUGUUUGCAACAUGUUGAUUUAUUUUUUAAAUGAAAAAAAAAAGUGGUUCACUUAUUCAACUAUGAAAUAGUUGUGAGAUGGGUUCGAGAGUAUAUAUGCCUCUUCGUACCAUUUUCCUAAAGACGAAUUAUUCUUCUUCUUCUUAUUCACCUUUUUUUUUCG
rnacentral:lncRNA from 1 species